UCCUCGGCUGUCGGCUGAAAAGCCUUGCUCCUCAUAACAUGCGCAUCCGCUUUGCCCUGGCCGCCAUCAGUAAUUCAUAAAGUCGUUGGAGCGGGUGCUACCACUGGUACCGCUGCUGCUAAAUGCGGGCAAUUGGCCUUCUUAUGGCCCUUCUGAUUGCAAUUGAAGAAAAUUAGAUUUUCUAUCUAUAUGGUGAUGGUGGUAGUAGUGCAAUCCCUGCCAAAGUGCCAUGUCCUGCCGCACUUAUAGCUACCUGAACCACCUACCCCCCAGGCUCCGUCAUGAGACUUGUCGCACUUGCCACAACGGCCCCGGCCCUGCUGGCCCCUCGAUCUAGAAUCAAAUACCUUGGCUUUCUUAGCCUAAACCUCGGUUAUCUGCCCCUGCUCUGCCUUCCUUUUACCCAGGUGCUCCAAAUCAUUCUCUUGCUCUCGAUCCCUAGUUAUUAUGUUAUCUAAUGUCAGACAAGUAGAAAAACUAACAAAAUCUCGAAUAUUUAAUCUCAACAUAUCGUGGUACCAAGUCUUUUGCAUCUCCUCAUCUGUGGUAUAUUGAGGUACCAAUAGAGUUCUCUCCUAGAACUUGGCGGUGGUCUUCACCACGGUGUCAUUUGUCUGUCACAUAUCCAGGAACUCCCUCGCUAGUUGGUGCACCUCAACAGCUAGGUCAAACUCUACUCUGAAUAAGGUCAAAAAUAUGGCAAAGACAUAUUCUCAAUGGCUGGGGCUUUGUAACGCCCUGUUCUAAAUUAUUCAUUAAUGGAAUUUCAAAGGCUAAGGCUAGGGGCGUUUCGGGUACUUUAUGGGUCUUAGAGAGGUUAUUUGAAAAGGUUUCGGGUUGGGGUGUGUUGUUAGAAGUGUAGGGCUUCUCGCCACCUUUUCGUGGAUAUAAAGUUCAUCGGAAACGGAUCUAGAAUGAAGGAGUUAUGACACUUUGAAUAUAUUGGCAAUAAUGGCCCUUAUGGAAAAAAGUUCGCAUGGAAGGCCAUGCAUGCAAUUUGGAACGUGUGUGGGUACGCUCAGCGUAAGCUGGGUUACGCCCAACGUAAUAGAGCAAGUGAUCGUGGGUGCAGGGAGGCGUACGCCCAGCGUACGCUUAGAGUCUUAAAACCCUAUUUAUAGGGUGUGUCACUGUAUAAGGAACAUAAUGGCUCCAACCCUAGCCCCCUUAUCAGCCUCCCCAACCUCAGAGAAACCCUAGAACGCCCCAACCUUUCAUUUUGUGAGAUCUUGACCUUGGAAAGCUCAUAUUGGUUGUUUUAAGCUUGGAAGAGAAAAGAAGAGAUUGGCAAGGAGGAAUCUUGGAAGCUGGAGCUCAUAGAUCUGAUAUAGCAUCAUCUUUUGGAACUCUUUGGAGGUAUAAAGCUGAAAACUUUACUUAAGGGUGCUUAGAUCUAGUGUGGUUUAGUAUGGGUUAGUUUUGGUCCGAAGGUGGAAGCUUUAUGGCUUAAAUCUGAUUUCCAUACCAAGGGUUGCCUCCCUUGGUGUUAUAUUACUCCCUAGAACAGAAAGUUGAUAUCUUGACGGUCCAAAUGAGUUUGUGCAUGAGUUAAGACCUUUUUCCAUGGAAAUAGAUUAUGGUUUUUGAAGUUGGAGCUUAUGUGAGUCAUGGAAGCCAUAAAGUAAGCAACUUUUAUGGUUUAAGACAUGAAAUAAGACCUGGAUCUGAGUUUGUAGCCUCUGAAUCGGACUAUUAAGCACUUAAUGGGAAGAUGGCUUAACAGGGUACUAUGUUGGGCGUACGUGCAGGUACACCCAACGUACUCGUCAUCAAGCCUGUACGCUAAGCAUACAUUGGAAUACGCCCUACAUAAUGCUGCCAGUUUGGGUUUCGAGCAUUUAGGCCUCGGUGUGGGCUGUGCUUUGGACUAUAGGUCUUUGGGCCUUAGUGGGCCAUCAGUAGUCAGUGAUUAUGGGCCAAGUAUAUGUGUUGGGCUUAGGGUAAGGCCCAAUAAAGGGAUUGGGCCCAAUGUAGCAAAUUGGGCCAUUAAUGAGCCAAUAGUGGGCUUGGGAAGCCUAUCUAGUGUUGGGCCUUUUAUAUUAUGUUUGGGCCUUAGUUAUGGACCAUAUUGGGGGUAGGGGUAAAAUGGUCAUUUUACCAUGAGAAGAACUAUUGCAUUGAGCUAAGUGUUAUUUGAUCUUGGUAGCUCGGGGAGCUGAGGGAGCAGCAGUCGGGGAAAAACUUCAGUUAGCAGCUAGAGGGUUAUCAGCAAUGUUUAGCAGUACAGGUGAGUUUCCCUUUGUGUGAAUGGGUCUACGGCCACAAUGCCGGCCCAUGUAGUUAUGAGUAGGAAGACCUGGGGGUUAGCCCUAGGUACUGUUUGCUAGUAUGAUAUUCAGGACCAAGGUCCAAUGUCGGGCGAGUGCCCAAGGAAUGGUUUGCAUGAUAGAGUAUACUUGUUGUUUGUGUGAUACUUGUAUGUGCCUGGUAGGGAGGUGAGUGUGGGCGAGGUCCCGUAUCUCACCAUUAGCAGAGUAUGGACGGCGUUCCAUAUCUCAUUAGUAGCCGAGCAGGGGCGAGGCCCGAGUUAGGAAAGGAGUGAGUGUGGGCUGGGCCCGUAUCUCACUAUCAGCAGGAGUGUGGAUGGGGUUCCAUGACUCAUUAGUAGCAGGACAGGGGUGGGGUCUAAGAUAGGCGAGGCCUUAGAAUAGGAAUUCAGUAGUAUAUGUCUAGCUUAUGUGAUAUGAUAUGAAUAUGUGUUAGUAUAAGUUAGAGGGCGGGACCCAGAGGUAGGCGGGGCCUAAGAGAAACAGAUAUGUACGCCGAGCGGGACCCGAAGCCAGGCGAGGCCUGGAGCAGGCGGUGCCAGUUGUAGCGAGCGGGGCCUAAGGUAGUGGGCGAGGCCCAACAUUUGCAGUAUGUGGCUAUGUGUAUGGUAUGUGGUAGGUUAGGGAACUCACUAAACGUCGUGCUUACGGUUUUCAGUUUGGUUUCAGGUACUUCCGGUAGCGGAGGGAAGAGCUCGGGGUGAUCGCAUGGCACACACCAUUGUUUAGUCAGCCUGGGAUGUUUUACUCUGAUAAUAAGAAUAUGUUUUGAAUUAACACUCUGAUUUUAAGUUAUGAAUAAUUUUAUGUUUUUAUAAAUAUAUUUUAAGUAAUGUUUUUCAAACGAAAUUUUUAGUCAUGAUUUUUGGAUCGUUACAGGCUCCCAGAGUAUAGCCAACCUCCUCCCACCAAUCCCGAGCUCGCUCCCUCAGACAUCCUAUAGCGAAUCGAACCUUCGAUCCCUCCGGGUAAAAGCUCAUCAUCAGGGAACACUAAAUAUCUGCUAGCCAAUUCCCGACGACAAUAGGGUCCUUCACCCCAAAGAAAUCUGGUUCCCCACAUCCCCUGAAAUCCUUGAAGAAGAGAAUGCGGGCCCCAAACUGGCAAGUAGCUAGGUCAGCCCUGAAAAUCCGAAGGCGAUCCUUCAUCAGCUCGAUGAUACCUUCCUUGAUCAACCCAAACAUCACCGGCCUCGCAUCAAUGGUAAGAAGCAAUGAACUUUCGUAGACCCUCAUCAAUUGGUUUGGUGCCCAUGCCCGAACCGGAUCCAGAUCCUAAACCUCCUGCUCCAUGACUUGUUACCAACAUACUGAAACAUAACCACAUAAACAAUCAGUAAACAUACGAAGAGGUUCAUACUCUCAAGCUUCAUAGAUUCAUCAUGCUCUUCCUGAUCUCGGGUAUGCUUCUAUUAGUACGGGCUCAAUACUACCUUCCACACCUAUUUAUACCCUCCUCAAGGACUACCCUGACUCCUCCAAGUCACUCUCUUCCCAUCUAAUACUCUUUACCUAUUACCAAGCGUCCUAAGAGCCAAAACAUAGUCCAACAACUCCCUAGGGUUCCUUUCCCCACCACUCUCUGCUAUCAGUUGCAAAAGGAGCACUCACUAAUACCAUCCAACUACCACACGAAUACAACUACAUACUAUCGGUACUAGAUAGUUAUUUGAACAAAAGGUCCCACACUACAACGGUUGUACUCAAACAAGUGUUGUGUAAUAGAUUUAAAUCUAUCCUUCUAAAAUUAUCUAAUCCCAAUAAUAUAUAAUCAAAUGCAUUCGUCCACUAGUCAGCUAAUACUAAUAAAGUUACCUAAAAGCAUAAAGCACACAACAUUCGAGCAUCAAGUAAUUCAAGCCUGAACAUAACCUAAACAGACCAUCCUAUCAGACAACUGAUCUCAUACUAGCAUGCAGAUCUAUAAGCUCAUACAAUAGGCACAUAAAGGCAUCUCUCCUAGCAUACUAUCAUGCAAUCUUGAGCAUAUCCUUAACCCUAUUCUAGCAUACGAUUCACAUAUUCACAGCAUAACUUAAAACAUGCAUUGGUAUUUUGGGAUAUCUUACUUGUGCUGAUUUUACGCCUCACACCCGCUUCUUUUAUUGGAAAUUUCUUGUUAAAAUAUUUCUUUUUAUGACAAACUUACCAAAUCCACAAUUUGAGUACAGACAUACCCGAGAGUAUGUCUGAAUCACUCAAACCAAGGCUCUGAUACCAACUUAUAACAUCCCAAAAAUUCAAAUAAAAUUUUCACUUUUAAAUUCAUUUCAAUCAUACGGUAAUCAUAUAUAAAUAGUCGAGAGUAUAUCUUAAUAACAUAUUAUCAGAGUAAAAAAUCCCAGAACCACGUGAUCUGGAAAAUCAUAGGUGCAUGCAAUGCAAUCAGGCCGGGCCCUUCCCUUUCGAGUUGGGAGUACCUGAAACAUAAACUGAAAAAACCAUAAGCAAAAAGAUUAGUGAGUUCCCCCAAAAUACCCCAUACCAUACAUACAUAAUUACAAAUUAGGUCAAUAAUCUAACCCGAGAUUCUAAACCCUAAAUUCAAACUUAAGGGUAAAAAGGCUGCUUAAACGUUGCCUUAUUGGGCCUACCCUAUCAAGGCCCAAAUCCAAACUAGCCCAAAUGCAUUACAAGUCCAGCUAAAAAGAGACCCUAAGGCCCAAACACGAGCCCAAGAACUCCAUGAUGGCCUAAGGCUCACAAAUGACCUAAUACUACAAAUGGGACUAUGUCCCAAACUCAAUCAAGGUAGAAGCCCAACAAAUCCCGAGCCGAAAACGCCAAAAGCCCACAGACAGACGUAUGCACGACGUACCUGGCACGUAUGCCCGACAUAUGCUACUAAUUUGGAAACUGGGGCACUGGCCUAGUACACGCAGCGUACUCAUGGGUACAUCUUGCAUACUGAUCAGACAACUAUCCAUCAAGAUUUUUUUAACCCAUUAAGCUUUUGACGUCCAAAAUCAGAUCCAAGGUCAUUAUAGUGUAUUAAGCCAUAAAGUUUCAAACUUUAUGCUUUUUCAUGACUUAAUGGGACUCAAACCAUGGAUUAAGCCUUCUAUCUCUCUUAAGUGGUCACCAAAUCAUGCAUGGUUGAGUUCUAGCCUCCAAGGUACGAUUUUUAUGACUUCAUGCACCCAUAAGAUUCCAAAAGGACAACUCAAAUGGUUUGGAGUAGCCCAUACUCCAAAAGACCAAGUUAUGGGACCAAAAGAAGCUAAGUUCUUCCCUAAACCUAGAUCUAAAAUUAGAAUGAGCACGUUUCAGACUUUAUACCUCCAAUGAGCUAGAAAUGAUGCACAAUCUUUGGAGCUACAAGCUUCUUCUUGUCCUUUGCUUCUCCUCAAGCCUCCUUCUUCUUCAAGAUCACAAAAGGAACACCCAAAACUAUUAGUAAGCUCAAGAAAACCCCUCAAGCCUUUCACCUUAUUAGCCCCCAUUGCCUUUUGUGUUAAUCUCGAAACCCUAUGAAGAGGCCUUUAGAUCAAUCAAUACAUCAAACAAUAACAGUAAAUGAGAACAAGAGGAAUUCACGAAGAAAAACUUUCACUAAGAAAGAUAAUCUCACAAAGAGAUUAUCGUGUGCACAAAGCAGCGAUUAGGUUUUGUGAAGGGCGUACCCAUUCACAAACCUAUACAAAAGAUUAUAUACUGCUAUUCUAGACAAUCCCUACAAAUCAGGGAUAUGCCAGCUAACUAAUUUACGCUAACUAUAGAAACAAGAUAAAUACAAAAUCUGUUACAAUGCACUGAAUAAACUAAACACGCUGAGCUGCUUAAACGCUGAUGUUGAUACUAAGAUAUACGCUGAAGCUGAGGUCUGUUUUAAACAUUAUCAUAUUUCAAUGUUUGACCUUACAAUCUCCCCCAAUAUGAUGAUGUUCAAAACAAACUAAAUUAAAACACCUCUGGACAGGAACUCUUCAUACUCAGUUUCAACUUCUAUUUUUACUGGCCAGUAAGGACUAUCCAGCAACUCCUGUCUUCUGUUCAGCAGCUCCAUGGCAAUAAGGAUGUGAAAUUCUCCGGAGAGAUCUUGAUGACUCAUGCACAUUUGCCUUAAGCCAACGAGAUGAGUGGUUGGAGCCUUUGGAAUCUCAGCAGUUCGUUGAAAACACAUCUUUCGAUUUUUAUCAAGAUAGAACAUCCCGUGUUCAGGAGCUGAGAUAAACUUAUGCUGAACCAGAUCAACACUGAUAGGAAGAGAAUUGUUUAUUCCACCAGCACCAAAGUCUAGAACCAAUAUAUCUUCACCAUCAACUUGAAACUUGGUUCUUCGAGUUCUAGGAACAGAUAACCUUUGGCCUUGAUGCUGAGGUCGUUCUUUAGGAACAAGAUCCAAACGCUGAACUUUCUUGAUCAGCAAAUGAAGAGCACAAGUCAGUUCCGAAGAGUGAGCUGAGGUUUGCUUGGAUGCUAGUUCAAGUAGUUCCAUCCAUUCAGAAUAUCCAUACCUGAUCAGCUCAUCCCUCUUGACAACUUCAGUGUAUGAAUGCUGAGGACCUUGACGAGUGAUCAGCAACGUAAGGAUUUUUUCAUUUCGUGGUUUGGAAGCUUUGACUUUGAUGAUCUUAUCACCACACAUUCGUCGAUUAAGAACGUCUUCAAACCUCUUUCGAUCGAUCCGGUCAAGAACACUGUCAGUCUUAGGCUUGCUACUACUAUGAGAAGGUUGAGAAGAUUGAGAUUUGGACUGAAACUCUAGGAAUUUCUGCAUCUGAGUUUCAAAAGAUCCUUUGGCCUGAAGUUUGUGCUGAAUAAGAGAUUCAUCAGCUUGAGCAAUGUUCUUUAGAAGCUGAGCUUGAUUAGCUUCAUCAAGAAUUUGCUUAACUUGAUCAGGAGACAUGUUCCAUUCAGCCGCAAGAUUUGAAAUACUGACUAUGGACUUGGGUUUCUUCCCAGGCAGAGAAGUAUCAGUUUGAGAAUGAGCCAAGUCAGUAUCUGCUACCUUACGCUUCCGAGAUAGCGGAUGAGAUUCUUCACUGGCAACGUCCGAAUCUUCUCCUUGGACCGGAAUAAUGGGAUCAGCAACAGGAUCGACUGAUUUCAUGUCUGGACAUUGAGAUUCAUUAUCAAGAUCAUCUGAACUUUCUUCUUGAACUGGAAUAAGAGGAUUAAUGAAGUUCAUAUCCAGUAUUUGACAUUCAUCAUCUGGUUCAUCAUCAUGCUCACUAUCUUCAACCAGCUUUUCAGUAGCUGUUGGACUAUUAUGCCCCGCAGAGUCAGACUUAUGUGUCAGCAUGGGUGAUUCAGGCUGAACAAUUUCGGUGUCUCUCUCUUUUGGUUCAUCAUCAGCAUUAUCAUCAACAUCAACAUCAUCAGCAUCAACAUCAUCAUCAGUAUCUCCCCCUUUUUGAGCAUCAUCAGAUUGGGGACUAGAGGGAGGAGUAUGCAGGAGAACCUCCUUUAGCUGAUGAACAUCAGCCUCAAUGCGAAGAAGACGCUGACUCAUGUCCCGAGUCAGAGUCAGAAGUUCAGUAAAGGCUGAGGCCGGAAUUUGAACAACUGAAGUAGCUGGAGCUGCUGGAGAGCUAGGAGGCAUUACCGGAGAAUAUUGGUCCCCAUGGGGUGGAUUCUCCCCCUGAGAGGGAUGCUCCCCCUGGGAUGGUUGCUCCUCCUGAAAUUGUUGCUCCCCCUGACUCAGUGAAUCCUUUUGAGCUGAGGGAACAUCAGCAAUCGAGACGAUAUGAUGAGAAAGUUGAUGAGAGAAAUGACCACCAUCAUGUGGUUCAUCCUCUUGACCGACAUGAUCUACAUGGUUACCAUCAGCGCCUCCUUCAUCAGUGUCAGCGAUGAGAGAAGGAACAGUGUAUGGAUUUGCAAUCCAUUCUCUCAUCCUAUCAGAGAUUCCGAUGUCAGUAUCCAGGGGAUCAUCUUGAUACAUGCGAACAGACAUGCGAGGGCAUUGGAUGAGAUUUCUAGAAUGCGAGAAGUAGUCUGCAGCGAAAAAUUUGUCGAGCACAAGAGCAAUUCAGUGUGGAAAAGGAACAUGAUCAGCGCGUACAUUUGCACGAAGAAGCUGAACAAGUUGAUCAAAGAAUAGGGCCCCAUAAUCAAGUCUUUUGUUGAGAAGAAGUGAGCAGACGACUUGUUGCUCAUAAUUACUCAAUUGAUCACCACUUCGAGACUUGUGACCCACACACUUGCACAGAGCACCGAUGAAGAAUUUCCAUCCUGGGGUCAUACAUUGGCGCAAAAUAAGAGCUGAUCGAGCACCAGCCUUUGAGUGAUCAUAUCCCAGUUGAUCAAACAAACGUCUACACCGUUCAAUAGAAGGAAGUUCAGAGAAAGGUUCAAAGAUAGGUAACCUUAGUGUAGCACUGAGAAGUUCUGCGGUGAUAAAGACAGAGUGUCUUCCACGGCCAAUAGUCCCGGUAAUGACAUUGUUGCGUCAUUGACAGUUGCAGUGUAGUAGAACUCACAGACUUUUUCAUUGAAGAACUCUGAUGGAACGUCACUGAUUGCGUAUCGAAGGCGGCAAGAGGCUAAGAAAUUAACAAAAUCAUCGAGUCCAAGACCUCGAUGAACCUCGGGAAUAUCAGGGUUGAAAACAACGUUGGUGGCUUUGAUGUAUAUUGGGAGAAGAGGAGAGUUUGGGGCAGGGAUUACUCUUCAUGAAGUAGAAGAGAAGGUGAACAAAGAGGCAGCCAUUAGAGAGUUUUUAGGGUUUUAGGGUUUUGAGUAUAGGUGAAAGAAGGUUAGAUUGUGGAAGGAAAGUUUGAAAUAGGGAUGAGAAGAGGUUUAAAUAUGGAAUUAAACGGGGCUUUUUAAAAAGGUAAUGAUUAUCUUCUUAAAAAAACGGCGUAUCAUAACAACCUGUCAGAUAAAAAGCAGUCGUUGGGUAAAAGAGCUGUUGACUGAAGAUGAAACGUCAAUCAGUGUUUGCGGAAGCGCUGAGAUCAGUGUCACAAAAAUUACAUGCUGAAAGUAUUUCUCCGUCAAUUCAAGGUACAACUUGCUUAAUUGAGGCUAGCAAGGAGAUUGGUGCGUGUGAUAGAUACUAGUUGCAUUAUCUAACCAUCGGCACAGAGUGUUGUGACUUUAUCAGUGAGUGGUUUAUCUUACUGAAUCAUUAGACACUGAAUGAGAAGAAGGUAAAGAAAGGAUUGUUGCGUGUGAUAAACCUUGGUGUUUUGGUCUAACCAUCGGCAAAGAUUUUUAGACUCUCAUCAGUGUGUGUUUUGGCACACUGAAUCACAGAAUCAGUGUAAGAUUGGUAAGAAGAAAUAGUUGCGUGUGAUAGAUCUUGGUGUUUUGAUCUAACCAUCGGCAAAGAUUUUUAGACUCUCAUCAGCGUGUGUUUUGUCACACUGAAUCACAGAAUCAGUGUAAGAUUGGUAAGAAGGGAUAGUUGCGUGUGAUAGAUCUUGGUGUUUUGAUCUAACCAUCGGCAAAGAGUUUCAAGUUGUUAUCAGUGUAUGGUUUUUAGUACAGUGAAUCAUUCAACUUUAGUUUAGAAGACUUGAAGAAGAGAGAAAGAUAGGAGAUCAAACCAAGUACUCAGUAUGCAAAUAUCACCAGCAUGUCAUCAUCAGCACAAUGUACAUCAGCUUAUAAGACAAUACCAAACAUUAGCACAAUUAAUCAGCAAAAUUAAUUACAAGGUAAUCAUUCCAAGUUCUCCAAUAAUGUAAGCAGUUGUUUGAGAAUCCAGUGCCUUAGUGAAGAUAUCAGCAAGUUGCUCUGAAGUCUUGACAUGUUCAAGAACAACCUUUCCCUUUUCAACAUUAUCUCUGAUGAAAUGAUGUCUGAUUUCGAUAUGCUUCGUCUUUGAGUGCUGAACAGGGUUUUGUGUGAUUUGAAUGGCACUGGUGUUAUCACAAUAUAUGGGAGUCUUUGAGAACUUGAUCCCAUAGUCGAGAAGCUGAUUUUGAAUCCAUAAGAGCUGAGCACAACAUCUCCCAGCUGCAACAUACUCAGCUUCUGCAGUCGAGAUGGCUACUGAUGUUUGCUUCUUGCUAGACCAGCUGAUGAGACGAUUUCCAAGGAAGUGACAUCCACCAGACGUACUCUUUUUGUCUAAAUUGCAUCCUGCAUAGUCUGAAUCAGUGUAUCCAAAAAGUUCAAAUGCUGAGUCGCGAGGAUACCACAGUGCUAGGUUUUGAGUCCCUUUCAAGUAUCGAAAGAUACGUUUGACGGCCAUGAGAUGGGAUUCCUUGGGAUUAGCUUGGAAUCGAGCACAGAGAAUGGUUCCAAACAUGAUAUCAGGACGACUUGCCGUGAGAUAUAAAAGAGAUCCAAUCAUUCCUCGAUACAGAGAGUGAUUUACAUCAGUUCCAGUUGGAUCAGCGUGUAUCUUAUCAGUCUUGGACACUGGAGUAGAGGCUGGUUUGCAGUCACUGAGAGAAUACUUAACAAGCAAGUCAGAAAUAUAUUUACUUUGGCAAAUAGAAAUACCUGACUUUUGUUGCUGAACUUCAAGACCUAAGAAAAAGGUCAUCUUCCCCAUCAUGCUCAUUUCGAACCUUUGAGACAUGAUCUCUGCAAAUUCCUUGCUCAGUUUCUCAUUUGGAGAGCCAAAAAUGAUGUCAUCGACAUAGAUUUGAACAAGAACCAUGUCUGAGCCUUUGUUUUUGAUGAAGAGAGUAUUGUCGAUUGCUCCUCGUCUGUAUCCAUUUUCAAGCAGAUACGAUGUCAGCGUCUCAUACCAAGCCCUGGGAGCUUGCUUCAGUCCAUAAACAGCUUUGUCUAAUCGGUACACGUAAUCAGGAUGAUCUUUGUCCACAAAGCCUGGGGGCUGAUUUAGGAAUACUUCUUCUUCUAACACACCAUGAAGAAAUGCUGUUUUCACAUCCAUCUGAUAGACAAUGAAAUUCAUGUAGGAUGCGUAUGCGAGAAACAGUCUGAUUGCUUCAAUGCGAGCAACUGGAGCAAAGGUUUCCCCGUAGUCGAUGGAUUCAAUUUGAGUAAACCCUUGAGCGACAAGCCUUGCCUUGUUGCGAGUAAUGAUUCCAUCUUUAUCAACCUUGUUGCGAUAGACCCAGCGAGUUCCGGUGAUAGUCUUUCCUAAUGGUCUUGGGACAAGAGUCCAAACAUUGUGCCUUUNCAUUCAGUUCUUCUUGCAUGGCUUUAAUCCAGUCAGCAUCUUGAAGAGCUGUGUGUAUCUUGUCAGGUAAGAUCAUUGAAAUGAAGUUAACAUACAUGCAAAAGUUAUUAGAUACACGAGAUCUGGUACGGACACCAUCAUGAAUAUUCCCUAUAAUUUGAUCAACAGGAUGAUAUCGAUGUUUAGAGACUGAUGCUGAUUCCAGAGAAUUUGACACUGACAAGUUAUCAGUUACAGGAGAGUCUUCAGCUUCAAGGAUUUCAUUAGCACCUAAUGAAUUAUCUGCUGAUCUGGCUGCAAUAUCUUGAUUUAAGGAACAUGGAACUGGAACGAUAGAAUCAGAAGAAUCAGCUUCAUCUCCAGCAGGAGGGACUUCGUCAAAUGGACAAGAGAGAAGCUCUUGAAAAAUAGAAGAAGAAUGAGUGACUUUUUCAUCAGUGUAUGAUUCCUCAUCAAACUUCACAUGAAUGGAUUCUUCAAUGCAUUGCCUGUUCACAUGAAAAACACGAAAAGCCUUUGAAAUAGAUGAGUACCCAACAAAAAUACCUUUAUCAGCCUUAGGUUCAAACUUGGAUCUUGGGUCACGCUGAUUUAGAAUAUAACAAAUACAUCCGAACACGUGAAAAAAGGAUACGUCUGGCUUUCGAUCUUUCAGCAUUUCAUAUGGUGUCUUCUUGUGAAUCCUGUGAAUUAGAGAUCGAUUCUGAGUAAAGCACGUUGUAUUGACAGCUUCAGCCCAAAACGACAUAGGAAGACCAGCAUGGAUCAUCAGGGUCCUUCCUGCCUCAAUCAGUGUUCUAUUUCUUCGUUCAGCAACUCCAUUUUGUUGAGGAGUACGAGGAGCUGAGAAGUUUUGCCCAAUGCCUUUAUGAUCACAAAAUUCUUCAAGAGUUGAAUUUCGGAACUCAGUACCAUGAUCACUUCUUAGUUGCUUAACUUUGAGACCUGUCAGUGUCUCAUUUUUACGAAUCAGUGAAAUAAUUUCCUGUGCAGCAUGACUUUUCUUCUUCAGGAAAACCACCCAUGUAAAUCGAGUGAACUCAUCCACAACCACUAGAGUAUACUUAUUUCCACCUAGAGAACGGACAGGAAUAGGUCCAAACAAGUCCAUGUGGAGUAAAUGAAGAGGGACUGAUAUACUGGAACAUGACUUGGGUUUGAAAGAGGACUUGGUUUGUUUUCCUUGUUCACAAGCUGAGCACAUCUUGUCUUUCACAACGCUGAAUUUUGGGAGCCCUCUAACUAGAUCUUGAUUGGAUAUUUUGGAUAGGUUCUUGAAGUUCAGAUGAGAGAACCUUUUGUGCCAAAUCCAGCUAAGAUUCGUCUGAGACUUUGUAAAGAAGCAUUGCAUCAGUGCCUUGUCACUCGAGAACAUGUCAAGAACAUAUAUAUCAUCUUUUCUACUUGCUGAAAGUACGAUGUUCUUGUCAGUGUUGACAACUCUGCCUUCCUUCUUUGUAAAGUGAACUUCAUAGUCAGCAUCACACAAUUGACUGAUGGAGAUAAGGUUGUGUUUGAGACCCUUUACAUAUGAAACAUUUUGAAAAACCACGUUAUUGCAUUUGAUAUUUCCAUAUCCUUUAGUGAACCCCUUUCCAUUGUCUCCAUAAGUUACUGCAGGACCAGUUUUCUUGACAUAAUCUUCCAGGAGAGACUUUGAUCCUGUCAUAUGCCUUGAGCAACCACUAUCUAAGUACCAAAGAUGCUCCUGACCCUGCAGUGCUGAGAAACUAGUUAGAACACACUGACCCAUUCGAGGAUGGGUCAUUCACAAAGUUAUUUGAUAAUAGAUUAUAACACUCCUUAGGAAGACAGUUUAAAGAAUUUGACUUAAGAGUCCAUUUUUCAUUUCUAACUUUAAUAUUAUCAGCUCUUAAAGAUGAUUUAUCAAAUGAACAUUCACUAAUCUUAUGAGAGGUAUCACCACAUCUGUAACAAACUCUAGUACCAAAGUUCCUCUUGGUGAGCAAUUUUUUUGAAUUAACACAUUUUGACUUGUAAGAUUCACCAAGAGAGCUUUGUGUCCUUUUGUUCAUUAUUGAAUCACAACUGAAUUCAGUGUCAGACAGAUUAUGAUCAGUGAUAGACGAUGAGCUAUCAUCAGUGUCUGGUUUGGACUUGUUCACAAUUGCAUUGCAGUCAGGAAAAUGCUUAAGUUGUUCAUGAACAGCAUGAAACACUCCAUUUGAGAUAGGAAAGGCAAUAAUAUUCUCAGUGAGUGGAGUUGGUCUUACAAGAUGUGCAGGGUAAGAGGUUGGAUCAAUUCCGGUAAUUUCAACAUUACACUCAGUAAUACCAUCAGAAUUAGUAAUACAACAUUCAUCAAUUAAACUCUGAUUAAUAAAAGAGUUACUGACAAACUUAUUUUUGAAAUUGUUUUUCAUCUCAUUCAUUAAAUAAAACUCAGAUUCCUUUUCUUGUGACUUAAAAACUUUUUCAGCUUCUGCAAAAUUACCCCCAAGAAUUUUCUCACAUGAAUGUGGAAUUUGAGCAGAAAUAAUAUAAUUUGCAUUCUUAUGAGAUUUUGCCCAAGUAUGAAGCACAAUUUGUUCUUUGAUCAAAAUAUUUUUAACAUUGUCAAUUUCAGCAGACAAAGAUGAAUUUGACAAACUAGUGAUUCUAAGAUUUUGCUGAGUGGACUCAAUAAUGUUAUUUUUCAUGGAUAUAUCUGUUUCAAGAAGAUCAAUUUGAUUUUGCAAAUCUCUUAUUGUUUGAUUCUUCUUAGAAUUGAUGACGCCCAAAUACUCAAACAUUUUGAUUUUUUCAUUCAUUGAAUAGGAAACAAAGUUUUUAACCUGGUACAUUGAAGAAGAGUCAGUGUUGUGCUUCCUGGAAUUUUCAACAGCAUCAGACAUAUCAGCAUCAAAUGUACUUUUGCCUUUUUCAGAAACAUCCGUGUCUUCUAUCUUUACCAUUAGACACUUGACUUCAUCAUCUGAUGACUCCUCAUCAGUCUUCCAUUUUUCUUCUUCAGCAACAAGCACUUUAUGUUCCAAGUUCUCUGCUUUCAGCUUCUCAAUCAGCUUGUUGUACUUCUGCUUCCAGUAUUCAUCUGAGCCUUGUUUCUUUUGUUUACACUCCUUUGCAAAAUGAUCAGUGCUCCCACAGUUAAAGCACUGAGCCUUCUCUUUCUUAUCAGUACCAUGCCUUUUAUCAGCUUCUGAUCUUUUUGAAAACUUUCCACCCAUCUUCUUUUGAAACUUUGAGAAGUUUCGACCUGAUUUCUCAAAAGUCUUUACAAUCAAAGCUGCACUAGCCACAACUUUUUCAAGAUCAUCAGUGUCAGUUUUAGAGGAAUCAGUAUCUGAAUUGCUUUCAGUGUCUGAAUCUGACACUAGCUUUUUGUUUGAGAACAAAGCUACAGAUGAUUCACGCUGAGAAUCUUUCAUCAGUUCCUUUCUUUGAAGCUUAGAUUCUUCAUAGUAUCGAAGAUUUCCAUAGAGACUUUGUAAGUCCAUAGAGUUGAUCUUCUCACUAUUUUUCAGCACAUCAACAUGAUUCUCCCAACCUGCACCCAGAGAAUCCAAAAACUUCUGCACUAGAACAGUUCUAUGCUUCAACUGAUCUAGUCUCCGAAGAUCAUUAACAAGAGUAUUGAAUCUGUUAAAGGUUUGAGUCAAGGUUUCACCUUUCUUAGCAAAAAAAUGUUCAUACCUUCGGUUAAGAUCAUUUAUUUGAGUAGCCUUGACUUCUUCAGUGCCUUCAAAAGAUACAGUCAGAGUAUCCAUCAUCUCUUUUGCUGAGAUGCAAUUUUGAACUAGCCCAAAAAUGUUGUAUGGCAGAGCGUAGCUGAUUGCGGCACGAGCACGAACAUCUAAACCAUUUUUUCUUUUGUCAUCUGCCAUCCAGUUUUCUCUAGGUGUUUUCUUCAUGGCACCAUCAGGAACGUUGUUUUUCAGAGGCUGAUACAUUGGGACAUAUGGACCCUUUUCGACAAUGUCCAACAUGUCUUCAUCUACUGACUCUAAAGCAUAUCGAGCCUUUAUUUUCCACAUAGAAAAGUUUGUUUCAUCAAAAGGAGGAAUUUUAGCGGAAGGAUGAUUUGAUGAGUUCGACGAAGAAGAAGAUGAAGCCAUUUGUUUGAUAAGAGAAACCUGCUCUGAUACCAAUUGAAGAGGCUUUUAGAUCAAUCAAUAUAUCAAACAAUAACAGUAAAUGAGAACAAGAGGAAUUCACGAAGAAAAACUUUCACUAAGAAAGAUAAUCUCACAAAGAGAUUAUCGUGUGCACAAAGCAGCGAUUAGGGUUUGUGAAAGGCGUAACCAUUCACAAACCUAUACAAAAGAUUAUAUACUGCUAUUCUAGACAAUCCCUACAAAUCAGGGAUAUGCCAGCUAACUAAUUUACGCUAACUAUAGAAACAAGAUAAAUACAAAAUCUGUUACAAUGCACUGAAUAAACUAAACACGCUGAGCUGCUUAAACGCUGAUGCUGAUACUGAGAUAUACGCUGAAGCUGAGGUCUGUUUUAAACAUUAUCAUAUUUCAAGGUUUGACCUUACACCCUAGCCACCUUGGCUCGCUUACACCUCGUGUACGCAUAGGUACGCCCAUUGUAGGUAGGGGACGCCUCGACUUUGUGCAUGCCUGGGAGUACGUUGUGCGUACCUUAUGUACGCCCAGCGUACUCGGGGAUAAUCUACGGGUAAUAAGAAUUUUAAUGGAAGAGUUUUACUUGGCGAAUCCUGAUGUUACAAAAUCCAGCAUUGCAGUCGAUGAUGGCUAUUAUUUAUUGCAAUCGAAAUUCCCGUCUGAAACCUAUAUUCAAAAGCCGCAACCAAAUCCACCACCAACAUGCCACCUCCCACCCCUUUGUAUGAUCGACAACCACCCAACUUCUUAUACAUUCAUUCACUUUCAUCUCCCAGCAGUUCCCCCACCCACCUUUAUAUAAACCAUUAUUGGGAACGACUUGCUCAUUCUCAUAUACAAGUCACUUGCGUUCUUUCUCAAAACUAAACAUUCAUGUCAAUUUUGACUUUAAAGUCAAAAUUGGAGAUGAAGCAUGAACGAAACCUAAUUUCAUUUGUAAAAGGUGUCCAAACAUGAAUGAAAUACUUUAAUUUUAGGAUAUGCAUACGACCAUUACAACAAUUAUACCUGAUCUUUUCCAUCUGGAAGUGGCUGAGCAACAAAAUUUGGGAUCUCAUCCAAGAACAAUCAACUGUUCCGGUGGUCGAUUUGUCAAGCAAGGAACGAGUACCUCUGGUGCCCUCACUGGUUCAUGAGAGGGAUGAAGAAACAAAAGUAGCAAGGACUGUUGAAGAAGCUCAUGUGCUUCUUUUGUCUCGGAAAUAAAUGAGAAGGCGAGGGGGAGAGAUGGUACGAUGGAAGCAGGGCAACAACAACAAAACAGGUGGGUGUUUGGAUGCUAUGGAGUCGGAGAAAAAAGAAGAGAAGGUGCGAGGGGGUUGUUGCCCUUUUGUCUAUUGUAAAAUCUCCACCUUCGGUGGGGUUUUCUUUGAAUGAAACUAAACAUAAAAAGGGAUGAACUGGACAACGAAUUUUGGGGGUGUCUUGCUGCUUUGCUCGACAUAAAAAGGAAAAAGGAGGGGCGAGGGGUUGUUGCUCCUCUGUUUACCAAAAAAAACCACAAGAACACCACUUCCAAUGGAGGUGUUUUUGGUUGCCUAUCGAAGAAGAGAGAGAGAGAGAGAGAGAGAGAGGGAGGGAGAGAGAGAGAGAGAGAGAGAGAGAAAGAAAGAAAGAGAGAGAGAGAGAGAUAAACCUCUUUUAUUUUUAAUUAUUAAAAUAAAUAAAUAGGUAUUAAUUUUUUUUAAAAAGAAAGGGGAUAUAUUUUUUUCAGGUGCAAAAAUGGUCCCUAAAAGGUGAAAAGACAAAUAUACCCUCAUAUGGGAGGCACAUGAAGGGGUUAACAACAACAAUUAAUGGGGGUUAAGUCGGGGGACCAUUUUUACAUACAAACUAGGCCAAAAGGACCAUGAAGUCAAAAAAAAUCAAAGUCUGGACUAAAUCUCGAAAAAAAAUGCAUACCACAUGGGACCAUUUUUGCAAUUUUGUCUUUAAACUAUGUCAAAUAACAAAGUUGACAUGUACUCAUGUUUUUCACUAAAAACUAGUAUUUUUCAUUAAAACCAUUAUAAAUAUUUGAAUUAACUUUAUAAUAAUUAAUAGUACUAAUUGGCAAAACUGCCCUUUUCUAAAAACAUACCGACAUGACAACAAAUUAAGAAACAUGCUAUAACCAAUAGAAAUGGCAAAAAAUACAUUAGAAUAUGAUACUAUUUAAAGUUAUUUAUAACUAGUGAGUGAUCUCGUAGUGAACCAUGUGUCACUUUUUUAAUUGGGUUUUUAUCAUCGGUUAUUAAUAUAGAUAUGCACAACAUGUUUCAAGCAAUGAUUGAGCACCUCCAACACAUGGGCGACGUUAUGGAGGCAGUCCAUGCGAAGCUCAAGGAAGGAUACGUCAUAAAAAUUGAUUUCCUCUGAAUUAUCUGCACAAGGCUGACAUAUGUGAAUUAUGUAAUCUGAAAUGAAAAAGGUGAAGAUGUGUCCAAUCAGGACGAUAUUGCAUUUAUGCAAAAGUGUAUCCUCAGGAGGAUCGUCAUGUUGAAGCAUAUGAUGGAGACUCAACAUGUCAACUGACUUAGUUUUCUUCUAUCAUUUGUUCACUUGUAUGAAUAUAUCAGUCUCUUUUGGCGGCUAUAACAGAUUUAACAAAAAUUUCAACAAAAACCUUAUGUAAAACUUAAUGAAAAUGUACUUUUUGGUAAAACUUGGCAACCAAAGAAAAAAAAAUAGCAACGUACUUUUGUUGAUAUAUUUUACAUUGAACCAUACUUUCAUUUCUUCUAUUACCUACAAAAUAUGAUGUCCGCAUAAUGCCCCUCCUUGCCACAUUUAUGGCACCCAAAAUAAGAUCGAAAAACAUGCACCCUCAUAAACCUUGCCGCACUAGCCACACAUACGACCCCUCUGUCCCCCAAAUCAUGAAUCAACAGUCUUGAACCACUUCAUUGUAGGAUGUGACUAAACGAGAGCCUGCCUCUGCUCUCUCGUCUGAGUCUUAAUCUCAAUCACCCAUCUCCACGCGACAUCCUCAAGCUCCGAGAGGGUAAUAUAGCAUUGGGUAGACACAAACUGCCGAAUGUUAGUCUUGAUUAUGCUUCAGUAUUGCGUCAUCUGGGCUAGCUCCAAAGUAGCAAACUCAAGACAGAAUAGAGCCCUCUUAGUGAACAUCUUGGUGAUCUCUGUCACCGCCUCCGUCAUUUGUCGCAAAUCCAGGUACUCCUAAGCCAAUCUCUCUAUCUCCACCAGGGGAACAUACCUCGUGGGAAACAUAUCCGAGAAUUGCUCCCAAGUAAUAGCAACCCUCUGCUCAGGAGUAUAAGAACCGCUCACCAGUUUCCACCAGUCCUUCGUGCCCAACCAGAAGGUUUAGGGUGCACCUGACCUUCCAGUCCUCCAGACAAGAAUAGGUGAAGAAGCAACCCUCCACAUAAAAAAUCCAUCUAAUAGCCACAAUCGGGUCCUUGAUCCCGUCAAAUGUGUUGUUGAAGUCCCGAUACUAGAAUGAUGCUCUUUCCUGAACCCCUGCAGUAGUGUUAUCAACAGCAACCUCAACCACAACAACGUACCGCUCAUCAAACAGCUCAAUCAUAGCUGUCCAGAUAGACCCAAAAACCUUGGGGAUGGCACCCCGGACAGCAUCAGCCACCUUAGUAACUAUCAAAUCAUGGAUUUCGUCAUCUAAAAAUAUAUAAGAAAUGCCACAAUUCAUAGAAAGGCCACCAGCUCCAGAACCAGAUCCUCCUGUGUACUCUAUACUGAAAAUGAUCCAAAAAUAUGUCAGAAAUGCCACAAUUCAUGCUCUUACAAUCAUCACGCAAAGACUAAAUCCUUGGGGUUCGUGACAUCCUUGCUACACAUACAUAUCUUGUGUUUCCAGUAGUAUGGGUCGAUACUACCUUCCACACCUACCUGUAUUUGUCUCAAUGGAUCAUCGCAAACUACCCGAAAACAAACCCAAUAAUCACGAUACGCAUACAUCCUAUGCUCACUCUCUCAAGAGUGGCUAAUCACUUUUCAAGCUGGCCUACUACACUCAUGAAACUUCCACCAACUCUGUAGCCGCUCGUGCAUGCUAAUCAUACAUAACAUUGGAUUCCAUAGACAAUCGAAUACUUGAUUCUACCAUGAGCCCACAACCAGACAUGAAACAAGAAAUAAGGCUAAAUUAAACAUUCUUAGUCUAUAAAAUCUUAGUUAUGUACAACUAUGAUGCACACACUAAGAAACUAUAGUAAUGAUGUCAAUUCCAUCUAGCAUACAAGGGAUUAUCCUAGGUUAUUAGGCAUCACACAUCAGGUAAUUCUAUCACACAAUUCAUGAGGAUCCGUAGCCUACAACUAGCAUGCAGUUCUAUUAUAAUCAUCAUAAGCAAAUAAUAGUGUAUGUAUCUUGGGGCAUACUUUCUUGCUCCGGCUGAUCAUACACAUCUCAUCCUUCUUAGGUUAGCUUUGAAAACAAUUUUUAAAACUUACAGAUCCAUAGUUUGAGUUUGGAUUCAAACGAAUGCUCAUCCAAUUCGCUCAAACUAUGGCUCUUAUACCAACUUGUAACAAAUAAUGAUAAUUUUUUAUCUUUUUAAUUUAAUUAAACCCAUUGCUUCAAUCAAAGACCCAUGUCAAAGUGUCAAAUACAAAUUUCUAAAAAUAAAUGUAUCAUAAAAUCUCCAAAACAUGUCACUGAAGGAUGUGUACGAUCACGCCUUCACCUUGUCCCGAUUAUCUGAAGUACCUAAAACAUAACACUUAAACUAUAAGCCAAAUCUUAGUGAGUUCCCUAAAAUACCACUACACAAACAUAUAACAGCAUGCAUAUUGGGUUAACAACCAUCGGACUUGAUUACCUAGGAGCCCAUAGCGUGAGUUUGGCUUGCCUUUCUGGCCUAAAGCUCAUGUUGGAUUUCUCCCGAGCCCGCAACAUAAGUCUGGCUUGCCCUCUAUGGCCUACAUCUUAUUUAUGGCUUGCUCUCGGGUUUGUUGGCUUCCACACAAAGUAGUAUUUCCUCAACCCAACCACACUACGUCGACAUAUGCAAUAGAUAAAACAUAUAACAGUAAACAGAUAAUCAUGCAGAUCUGAACAGAUCACUACAAAAUAGUAACAUCCUAAAGCAGGAUAACUAUCUACCGGGUCGACAUUGGUGCCUUCAACCCACAAGUACAGUGAGGAAACUCACCUCACAGUCUGAAAUGUAGCCAGACAAAUCACAGCUCCAACUGCUGACUCUACAUGUCACCUAUACAACAAACGGUGGCCUAAUCUCAAACUAUUUCUCAAAUACCCUAAUACCCAUAAGUUAAAUGGUCAAAUCCUGGUCAAAGUCAAUGUUUAAAAGUCAAAGAUCCACUUGAGAUGAGUACACCAUGUGUACUCCCCUCUACGCCCAGCGUAGAAGGCACCUCUAAAAAUAUGGGUUCCAAACCUGGUACACGCAGCGUACCUCCAGCAACGCCCAACAUAGCAUCGCUGAAUCCCCAUUUCACCAUUAAGUCCUUAUUUCGUUAAGCCAAAGCAGCAAAAUUUAGAUCCACAUAAAUAGGGGCGUCUUAAUGGAUAAAGUCUCUAGUUUUAUUCAUUUGCAUGCAUACAAGGGGGUAUAAACUCAAACCCUUAGUCCAAAAGUCAUUUAAAGCUCCAAAACUCUUGCAUGGCUUAAUGAGAGUGCCCAGGCUCUAAUUUUUAUGAAUCCGUGAGCUUAAAAACUACAGAAACUACAUUUCAAGUACCUACAGUAGCUCAUACUCCACUAGACCAAACCUAUGGGACCAAAAAUAUACACAAACUCUAUACUAUCAAAAUCUAAGCAAAUAAUUUAUCAAGUUCCAAGAUUUAUACCUUCAAAUGAUGCUUAAUGGUGAGAUACUUCUGGAUCUAGGUUGCCUUGAGCUUCCAAGGUGAUUCCACUAUCUUCUCAUUCCUUCAAGAACACCAAAUAUACACUCUCAAUCUCAAAAAUACACACACAAUGGAUUAGGGUUUGCAAAGGAUGAUUUAGGAGAUGGAGGUUGAUGAUAGGAAAGGUCUUGAAGAGAUAAUGAUGUUUAAAUAAGGCUCAAACCCUAAAAAUUAGAGUGUGCACCCUAGCUACGUACGUCCAACGUACGCCUAGCGUACGCAUGAAAACACUUAUUCCUUUUAAGUGAUCUAUGUCAUGCAUAUGCCCCCAAGUACGCAUGGCGUAAGGACCAAUUUUGCAUAAUACUUUCACUUAGGUUUAAAAAUAGAAAUUUUCUAGAUAUCGGGGUGUUACAAAGACUACAAUUGUUCCAUGACAUCCAUCCGAUAACUGCCAAACUAAAGGUGUUGGAUCCAAAACCGUCCCAUCUUCUCUCCGUGGACAAUAAGCGUUUAUAUGGGCUAGCUAACUGCAAAAGAAACAUACCCUCGACUCCCUCUAACUACAGUCCCAACUGUAGUGAACCUCUUGACCGCACUCAAAAUAACCAUAAAUCAACGUAUAACAAAUACCGGCGUGUACCAAAACCAAACCUGCCAUAAAAUUUGUAACACCGUGAAUUUCAAAAUAAUUUUUCGCAUAAUAUAAAAACAUUUUCAUUUAAUUUUCAUAAAAACAUCAAUGUUUAAAACUCCAAUCCAUAUCAUACAAAAAUCCCAAGAUCACAUAUCAUAAAAAUCCCAUAUGUGUGUACAGAUCAAGCCGGCGCCCUCCCACGGUCAUCACUAGUACCUGAAACAACAACACUAACGCUGUAAGCACAAAGCUUAGUGAGUUCCCCAAAAUACCACACAUAACACAUAUUAGCCACUCGAGGCUAUAACUCUAUGGGUCCGUAAACCCUACUCUGUGAACCCACUGGUUCUAACUCUGGGAACCUUCCGGUUCCAACUCUAUAAACAUGCACAGCACAAAUCACAUAGAAAUAAUGCAGUACAACACAUAACAUACAUAUAGCAUACAAAUACUCUGUCACAUAACUCUGAUUACCUACUCAAGGUAAAGUAUAGUGAGAAGACUCACCUCGCGUAUCUCGAUAACUCGCAAACCCCGGAAAUCACUCGCGCUCGAUCCUCCGAGCUAUAAUCCUCCUAUAACACAAUAUAUCUCUAAUUAACACUUUCUCAACUAAGGUUGACUACCCCUAUCAAGUCAACACUGGUCAACUCUGGUCAACGGUCAACUUUGACCGGACUCGGCGAGUGCACUAGAGCGACUCGGCGAGUCUAUACGUGUUCACUGACUCCCUAGGAUCCUCUCUUGACACGUCGAGUACUUCCCUGACUCGACGAGUUCCACCUGGCAUGAAUCGUGGGGCCACCACGACUCAACUCGCCGAGUCUCAAGAACAACUCGGCGAGUUCCAGCUUGACUCAGUCCACCUGUCAACCCUCUCUGACUCUCCCUGACUCACUGAGUCAACCCUUAACUCGGUAAGACCACUCGCUGAGUGGUUAUGGACAAUCUUCAUGCUACUCGCCGAGUCUGUUCUUCGGACUCGGCGAGUCCAUGCCAUGCAUCAACUCAAUCUCGCUUCUGAGGUCAGAUCCGCUCCAACAACUCAUAGAUCUAGCCCUCCCAAGCACAUUCAUCACGUAAAGUCACAAUCUUGGCUACCAUGCAACGCCUACAAGGCUUCUUUUGAUGAAAUGACAUCUAAAAUGGUAACCUAAGUCUCCAACUCAAAAGGAAAGGCAUAAAGCAUGGCAUUUGGGACUCUCUGGACCUACUAAGGUCCAGAUCUAGGUACCAUAUCCCCAUGGGACCUCUCACACUCCAAAUACAAGGCAAACAAGGCAUGAAGAAACCCUAGAUUUGACCAUAACAACAAAAACACGAGAAUAAGCUCUGAAUGAUACCUCAAGAAGCUUCCUCUGACGAAAUGGAAGUAGAUCCAAGCUCCCCAACUCUCCUAGCUUGGCCUUCCUCUUCCUUUCUUGCAAAUACACACAAAAAUGGUGAAUAAUGGCCUCUUAUCUCACUCACAAGGACUCUCAGCUGCUCUGGUGCUCUCAAGGUCGAAGGUAGCCGCAAUGAAGGGUUAUAAGGUCCUUUAAAUAGGGCUCAGGGCCGGGAAAUUAGGGUUUCAUUAAACAGCGUGGACUCGCCGAGUCCGGACGCGAACCCGCGUCCAAAUCCGCGAUCAUACUCGGCGAGUCUAGGCUCCAACUCGCCGAGUCUCCUCACAAAUUACCAAAAAUAAAUAAAUGAAUAAUACCUGGGAAUCCGGGCUGUUACAAUUCUCCCCCACUAGAACUAGACUUCGCCCUCGAAGUCUCGCUCUGCAAAUAACUCUGGAUGCUGCUCACGCAUCUCACGCUCCGGUUCCCAAGUCAUCUCGGACCCCUUCCGAUGCUGCCACUGAACCAAAACCAGGGGUACCUCCUUGUUCCUCAGAACCUUGAUUUUCCGAUCUCUGAUGGCCACUGGUCUCUCGGCAUAAUUCAGGCUCGCAUCCACCUGAAUAUCCUCUAAUGGAACCACUGCCGACUCAUCGGCUAUACACUUCCUCAGCUGCGACACAUGAAAAGUGUCGUGAAUCUGCCCCAACUCUGCUGGCAAAUCCAAACGAUAGGCUACCCGGCCUACCCUCGCGAUCACACGGAAUGGACCAAUAUAUCGGGGCCCCAACUUGCCCCUCUUCCUGAAUCGAAUCACUCCUUUCCAAGGAGAGACCUUCAGGAGUACAAGGUCGCCGACCUGAAACUCAAGCUCGGACCGGCGUCUGUCUGCAUAACUCUUCUGACGACUCUGAGCGGUCAACAACCUCUGUCUGACCUGCUGGAUCUGCUCUGUCGUCUGAAGCACGAUCUCUGUACUGCCCAUCACCCUCUGUCCAACCUCUCCCCAACAAAUGGGGGUCCGACACCUCCUCCCAUACAACAGCUCAAAGGGUGGCAUACCAAUGCUCGAAUGAUGGCUGUUGUUGUAGGAAAACUCUGCCAAGGGCAAAUAUGCAUCCCAGCUACCCCCGAAAUCCAACACACAUGCCCGGAGCAUGUCCUCGAGCGUCUGAAUCGUCCGCUCACUCUGACCGUCUGUCUGGGGAUGAUAUGCGGUACUAAAAUGCAGUCUAGUACCCAACUCCUCAUGAAACUUCUUCCAGAAUCUGGAAGUGAAACGCACAUCACGGUCUGAAACAAUCGAGAUCGGCACCCCAUGCCGAGAUACCACUUCCCUCACAUACACCUCCGCCAAUUUCUCUGCUGAAGAACUCUCGCUGAUAGCAAGGAAGUGAGCGCUCUUCGUCAACCUGUCCACAAUCACCCAAAUUGCAUCAACUCCUCUGGCAGUCCUUGGCAAUUUGGUGAUGAAAUCCAUAGUGAUCUGUUCCCACUUCCAUUCGGGAACCUCCAAUGGCUGCAACUUACCAUGCGGCCUCUGGUGCUCGGCCUUAACCCUACGGCAGGUCAAGCACCUCUCAACAAACCACGCAACAUCCCUUUUCAUACAGGCCCACCAAUACUCCUUUCUCAAGUCCAAAUACAUCUUAGUGGCCCCGGGAUGGAUUGAAAAUUUCGACCGAUGAGCCUCUUCCAUCAAAAUGGUACGCGUUUCUCCCACAAACGGCACCCAGAUACGCCCCUGAAAUGUCAUAAGCCCCCGACCAUCGGUAACGAACUCUGAAACCAAACCAACAACCCGUUCUUUCUUCUGCAUCUCAGGUUGCACAGCCUCGGCCUGUGCCCCACGAAUGGCGUCCAACACUGGAGCUAUCACGGUCAAUCUCAAACAUACAUCCCGCAGCGGGGUGCUCUCCGCCCUGCGGCUCAGUGCAUCGGCUACAACAUUAGCCUUGCCUGGGUGGUACAGGAUCUCACAAUCAUAAUCCUUGACCACAUCCAACCACCUUCUCUGUCGCAUAUUUAGGUUGGGCUGAUCCAUCAAAUAUUUCAAACUCUUAUGGUCCGUGUAUAUCGUACACCGAACCCCAUACAGGUAGUGACGCCAAAUCUUGAGGGCGAACACCACUGCCCCCAACUCUAGAUCAUGGGUGGGAUAUCUCGUCUCAUGAGGCUUCAGCUGCCUCGAUGCAUAUGCUAUCACAUGCCCUCUCUGCAUCAGCACCGCUCCCAACCCCAAAAUCGAUGCAUCACAGUAUACCACAAAGUCCUCCAUCCCUUCCGGGAGGGCUAACACCGGGGCUUCGCACAACCUUUGGCGAAGUGUCUCAAAGGAGGCCUGCUGCUCGGGGCCCCAUGAAAAAGCAACACCCUUCCGGGUCAAUCUGGUGAGUGGCACUGCGAUCUUGGAGAAAUCCUUGAUAAAUCUCCGAUAAUACCCUGCCAACCCUAGGAAACUCCUGAUCUCGGAGGGUGACUUCGGCACCUCCCAACUCAUCACUGCCUCAACCUUGGCCGGAUCGACCAAUAUCCCUUCCUGGUUAACGAGAUGUCCUAAGAACUGGACCUCCCGCAACCAGAAAUCACACUUGGAGAAUUUGGCAUAAAGCCUCUCCGAUCUCAGAACUCCGAGAACCUCUCUCAAAUGCUCCUCAUGCUGCUCUCUAGAUCUCGAAUAUACCAGAAUGUCGUCGAUAAAUACAAUCACCGACCGAUCCAGCAUCGGCCUGCACACUCGGUUCAUGAGAUCCAUGAACACUGCCGGGGCAUUGGUGAGCCCAAAAGGCAUCACCACAAACUCAUAAUGCCCAUAACGCGUCCUGAACGCUGUCUUCUGGACGUCCUCAUCUCGCACCCUCACCUGAUGAUAUCCAGACCUCAAAUCGAUCUUGGAGAACCAAGAUGCUCCCUGCAACUGAUCGAACAAAUCGUCGAUCCUCGGCAACGGGUAACGGUUCUUGACCGUCAGCUUGUUCAACUCCCGGUAGUCAAUGCACAUCCGGUGUGAACCAUCCUUCUUCUUGACGAACAGGAUAGGCGCUCCCCAUGGCAAGCUGCUCGGCCAAAUAAACCUCUUUCCCAGCAGCUCCUGAAGCUGCGAGGAUAACUCUUGCAUCUCUGGAGGUGCAAGGCGAUAAGGCACCUUAGCGAUAGGCGCGGCCCCCGGAACCAAAUCGAUACUGAACUCCACUUGCCUCACAGGAGGCACACCCGGCAACUCCUCGGGAAAUACAUCCGGGAACUCACGCACCACCGGAACCUCCUCAACUGAACUCGGCCUCUCGGAAUCCACCCGCGUAUCCAUCACAUACGCCACAAAACCCUUACAGCCCUGCUGUAGACACUGCCUCGCCCUAGCGGCCGAACAAAACGCUGAUCCUGAACGUGUACCCUCGCCGUACACCGAAAGAACUCCCCCACUAGGGUCUCGUAUGGUCACCANNNNNNNNNNNNNNNNNNNNNNNNNNNNNNNNNNNNNNNNNNNNNNNNNNNNNNNNNNNNNNNNNNNNNNNNNNNNNNNNNNNNNNNNNNNNNNNNNNNNNNNNNNNNNNNNNNNNNNNNNNNNNNNNNNNNNNNNNNNNNNNNNNNNNNNNNNNNNNNNNNNNNNNNNNNNNNNNNNNNNNNNNNNNNNNNNNNNNNNNNNNNNNNNNNNNNNNNNNNNNNNNNNNNNNNNNNNNNNNNNNNNNNNNNNNNNNNNNNNNNNNNNNNNNNNNNNNNNNNNNNNNNNNNNNNNNNNNNNNNNNNNNNNNNNNNNNNNNNNNNNNNNNNNNNNNNNNNNNNNNNNNNNNNNNNNNNNNNNNNNNNNNNNNNNNNNNNNNNNNNNNNNNNNNNNNNNNNNNNNNNNNNNNNNNNNNNNNNNNNNNNNNNNNNNNNNNNNNNNNNNNNNNNNNNNNNNNNNNNNNNNNNNNNNNNNNNNNNNNNNNNNNNNNNNNNNNNNNNNNNNNNNNNNNNNNNNNNNNNNNNNNNNNNNNNNNNNNNNNNNNNNNNNNNNNNNNNNNNNNNNNNNNNNNNNNNNNNNNNNNNNNNNNNNNNNNNNNNNNNNNNNNNNNNNNNNNNNNNNNNNNNNNNNNNNNNNNNNNNNNNNNNNNNNNNNNNNNNNNNNNNNNNNNNNNNNNNNNNNNNNNNNNNNNNNNNNNNNNNNNNNNNNNNNNNNNNNNNNNNNNNNNNNNNNNNNNNNNNNNNNNNNNNNNNNNNNNNNNNNNNNNNNNNNNNNNNNNNNNNNNNNNNNNNNNNNNNNNNNNNNNNNNNNNNNNNNNNNNNNNNNNNNNNNNNNNNNNNNNNNNNNNNNNNNNNNNNNNNNNNNNNNNNNNNNNNNNNNNNNNNNNNNNNNNNNNNNNNNNNNNNNNNNNNNNNNNNNNNNNNNNNNNNNNNNNNNNNNNNNNNNNNNNNNNNNNNNNNNNNNNNNNNNNNNNNNNNNNNNNNNNNNNNNNNNNNNNNNNNNNNNNNNNNNNNNNNNNNNNNNNNNNNNNNNNNNNNNNNNNNNNNNNNNNNNNNNNNNNNNNNNNNNNNNNNNNNNNNNNNNNNNNNNNNNNNNNNNNNNNNNNNNNNNNNNNNNNNNNNNNNNNNNNNNNNNNNNNNNNNNNNNNNNNNNNNNNNNNNNNNNNNNNNNNNNNNNNNNNNNNNNNNNNNNNNNNNNNNNNNNNNNNNNNNNNNNNNNNNNNNNNNNNNNNNNNNNNNNNNNNNNNNNNNNNNNNNNNNNNNNNNNNNNNNNNNNNNNNNNNNNNNNNNNNNNNNNNNNNNNNNNNNNNNNNNNNNNNNNNNNNNNNNNNNNNNNNNNNNNNNNNNNNNNNNNNNNNNNNNNNNNNNNNNNNNNNNNNNNNNNNNNNNNNNNNNNNNNNNNNNNNNNNNNNNNNNNNNNNNNNNNNNNNNNNNNNNNNNNNNNNNNNNNNNNNNNNNNNNNNNNNNNNNNNNNNNNNNNNNNNNNNNNNNNNNNNNNNNNNNNNNNNNNNNNNNNNNNNNNNNNNNNNNNNNNNNNNNNNNNNNNNNNNNNNNNNNNNNNNNNNNNNNNNNNNNNNNNNNNNNNNNNNNNNNNNNNNNNNNNNNNNNNNNNNNNNNNNNNNNNNNNNNNNNNNNNNNNNNNNNNNNNNNNNNNNNNNNNNNNNNNNNNNNNNNNNNNNNNNNNNNNNNNNNNNNNNNNNNNNNNNNNNNNNNNNNNNNNNNNNNNNNNNNNNNNNNNNNNNNNNNNNNNNNNNNNNNNNNNNNNNNNNNNNNNNNNNNNNNNNNNNNNNNNNNNNNNNNNNNNNNNNNNNNNNNNNNNNNNNNNNNNNNNNNNNNNNNNNNNNNNNNNNNNNNNNNNNNNNNNNNNNNNNNNNNNNNNNNNNNNNNNNNNNNNNNNNNNNNNNNNNNNNNNNNNNNNNNNNNNNNNNNNNNNNNNNNNNNNNNNNNNNNNNNNNNNNNNNNNNNNNNNNNNNNNNNNNNNNNNNNNNNNNNNNNNNNNNNNNNNNNNNNNNNNNNNNNNNNNNNNNNNNNNNNNNNNNNNNNNNNNNNNNNNNNNNNNNNNNNNNNNNNNNNNNNNNNNNCUGUAAGCACAAAGCUUAGUGAGUUCCCCAAAAUACCACACAUAACACAUAUUAGCCACUCGAGGCUAUAACUCUAUGGGUCCGUAAACCCUACUCUGUGAACCCACUGGUUCUAACUCUGGGAACCUUCCGGUUCCAACUCUAUAAACAUGCACAGCAUAAAUCACAUAGAAAUAAUGCAGUACAACACAUAACAUACAUAUAGCAUACAAAUACUCUGUCACAUAACUCUGGUUACCUACUCAAGGUAAAGUAUAGUGAGAAGACUCACCUCACGUAUCUCGAUAACUCGCAAAUCCCGGAAAUCACUCGCGCUCGAUCCUCCGAGCUAUAAUCCUCCUAUAACACAAUAUAUCUCUAAUUAACACUUUCUCAACUAAGGUUGACUACCCCUAUCAAGUCAACACUGGUCAACUCUGGUCAACGGUCAACUUUGACCGGACUCGGCGAGUGCACUAGAGCGACUCGGCGAGUCUAUACGUGCUCACUGACUCCCUAGGAUCCUCUUUUGAUACGUCGAGUACUUCCCUGACUCGACGAGUUCCACCUGACAUGAAUCGCGGGGCCACCACGACUCAACUCGCCGAGUCUCAAGAACAACUCGGCGAGUUCCAGCUCGACUCAGUUCAUCUGUCAACCCUCUUUAACUCUCCCUGACUCACUGAGUCAACCCCUUAACUCAGCAAGACCACUCGCUGAGUGGUUAAGGACAAUCUUCAUGUUACUCGCCGGGUCUGUUCUUUAGACUCGGCGAGUCCAUGCCAUGCAUCAACUCAAACUCGCUCCUGAGGUCAGAUCCGCUCCAACAACUCAUAGAUCUAGUCCUCCCAAGCACAUUCAUCACGUAAAGUUACAAUCUUGGCUACCAUGCAAUGCCUACAAGGCUCCUUAUGGUGAAAUGACCUCUAAAAUGGUAACCUAAGUCCCUAACUCAAAAGGAAAGGCAUAAAGCAGGGCAUUUGGGACUCUCUGGACCUAAUAAGGUCCAGAUCUAGGCACCAUUUCCCCAAGGGACCUCUCACACUCCAAAUACAAGGCAAACAAGGCAUGAAGAAACCCUAGAUUUGGCCAUAUCAACAAAAGCACGAGAAUAAGCUCUGAAUGUUACCUCAAAUAGCUUCCUCUGUCGAAAUGGAAGUAGAUCCAAGCUCCCCAACUCUCCUAGCUUGACCUUCCUCUUCCUUUCUUGCAAACACACACAAAAAUGGUGAAUAAUGGCCUCUUAUCUCACUCACAAGGACUCUCAGCUGCUCUGGUGCUCUCAAGGUCGAAGGUAGCCGCAAUUAAGGGGUAUAAGGUCCUUUAAAUAGGGCUCAAGGCCGGGAAAUUAGGGUUUCAUUAAACAGCGUGGACUCGCCGAGUCCGGACGUGAACCCGCGUCCAAAUUCGCGAUCAUACUCGGCGAGUCUAGGCUCCAACUUGCCGAGUCUCCUCACAAUUUACCAAAAAUAAAUAAAUGAAUAAUACCUGGGAAUCCGGGCUGUUACAAAAUCCGUGAAUCUCUUGUUCUCCUGAUCGGUUGUCAUUAACCCAGGUCUUCUUAACGGUUGAUACUGAUGUGUGAAUCUGAUCAUGCUUUUGCUUCCGUUGUUGGAUCUCCAACACUAACUCUCUGUCCCUGGCUGCCUCCACUAAACCAAAAAGAGUCUUAUGAUCAGAAAUGCUCACGAACUCCAGCACCUCCUCCCUCGACAUGUCAUGGUAGCAAGUCAUCAUCAUCUCCUCUGUUACAGUAUACUAUUGGAAAAUCAACGCUCUCUCUCUGAACUUAGCGGUGAUCUCAGCGACCAUUUCUGUAUUCUGCUCCAGCGCAAAAUGCUCCCAAGCCAGCUGAUAAACCUCAAUCGUUGGAUCAAACUCUCUCUUGAAUCAGAUAACAAAAUCCUCCCGGGUCAUAGACUUGGUUGCACUUGGUUCGAGCCCGAACAACCUCAUGCCACUAAUCCCUUGCCCCAUCACACAGAGAAAGAAGGUGAUUGAUAGGUAAGUGAAAUCUUACCUAAACAACUGGAAAUAGACGGCGAUGUCUUUAAUUUGGUCCAAAAACCCAAAAUUGGUCCAAUACACGAUGUAGGAUCAAAGAAUCGAUGAUUAAGGUGGGAACUCUUACCGACGACAACUUCAGCGGAAUCUUCAAAAUGCGGCUUGUGGUAGAGACGACGGUAAUUCGAGGUUGGUAAAGCAAAAUUAAUCGGUACGGUGAUUGGAGUUGCAAAAAGACCCGUGUCGUGAAGAAAGAAAGCAUGGCAGGCGACUCAUCUGAAUAAAGAGAACGGCUAAACAAAAGAAAGGAUAAGACGCAAACUUAAGGAUUAUAUACUACACAUAGUAGACGCGAUGUCAAAUAUUUUUGCAAACGAAAGCAAUAUAUGUGUGUUCAAGAUAGAUGAGUCAAGAUUUACCAGACGGUAGGAAGCAGUUGAAAAAUGAGCAGAAGACAUAUGCACGACCUGUAACAAAGCAAAUGUAGGAGAACUAUUGGAAGAUGAUGACGGUGAAACCACUUCGGCUCCAAACCACAGGUAUUCAAGUCGGCUUGAAACUAUGCAUUGUUCCUAAACGGGAACUACGUUUAUUAUGUAUAAUAAUAGGUUUAUAUAGUAUGACAUUACGACAUUUUAUAAAUAGGUACAUGGUUUAAAUUAUAGUAAAGAUUAAAAUAUUGAUAUUGUUGGAUGAUUGAUUUACAAUGUAAUUUACCUUAGAGCAUUUAGAUAGAGUGAUUAACCAUUUUUUAAAAGUUAUUUAUUCUUAUUUCUAUUUAAUUUUCAAUCUUUCAAAAUUUUAUAAUUACUUUGAAAUUUAUAAAAUAUUUUUGUAUAAAUAAAAACUAUAACUUAACCAUGUAUAAUUUAACAAACCACCUGCUAAUUUAACAAACAUAUCCUCAAAAUUUUAUUUUUAUAAAUUACUUUUCUUUAUAUGUGUCAUGUCUUAAUUCAUAUUACCGAUAAAAGUAGUCUAAUGUCGGUCUUUAUCCACAAACUAUAAAAAAAUUAUGUACUUCAUUUCUAAAUAAAAAUCUAUUAUAAUAAAUGAAAAUCUUUUUUACCAUAUAUCAAUCUUUCAUGAGUUUUGACAAUUAUCAUUUUGUAAUAUUUUUUAAAAUAAAUAAUAUCCACAUAUCAAUUUUUGAAUUUUUUAAAUCUUAAAAUUAAAAAGUCACAUAAUACUUAUAUAAUUAUAUAUAUGUAAGUAUUAAAUGUAAUAAAUUUAAUAAAUGUGAUAGUAAAUUGUAAUUAAUAUAUUUCUUUAUUUUUUAUUUCAAAAUUUUAUUUAAAAAUAUAUUUAUUGUUUACACUUUGACAUUUAAUUUUUUUUAAUCAACUCGUAUAAUAUAUGAGUUUUACACCUAACAAAGUUUAAUAUAUACAACAAAAAAUUAUAAAAAAAAUAAUAAUAAAUAAAUAACAGGUGGCAUGUGAUAAAAAAUCACUUUUUUCUUUUUCUUUUUGAAUUUUUUUUAUCUAAUUGUUUAACUAGUUGAUGAUUAAUACCCAUAAACAUUGUAUUAGUACUUUAAUAGAGUUAUUAUUUAAUUAGUGAAAUUAAAUAUCAAGUAUAUCCUUAAAUAUUAAAGAUGUCGUUUCACAUGACAAAAACAAUAAAAUCUUAUAAAAUGAAAUCAUAACUUUUAGCAAUUACUUUGUAAAAAGCAACCACAGACAUACAAAUAGAGAUUAUUUCAUUUUUAUAACUAUAUAUUAAUAUUAUUCUAAUACGAGUAUUUCUCUAAGUUUUCAAAUACGAAACGUUUAUAAAAAUCAUAACUAUUAAAACGAACAAAUCAAAACCCCCCAUAUUACGACUAUAUGAAGUCAAGUUCCACAUGAAUUCCGAUUUUAAGUUUUAACAUUCCAAAUCACCAUAUUCGACUCCCUCAAAAAUAUAUUCAUAGAAAAAUAAAACAGCCUCCGACCACCACAAACCACCGCACUCCUCUACCACCACGUCAUCAUCGUAUUCACCAAACAGAAGCAGCAGCAAUGGAUCAAUCUACCAAAGCUGGAAUCCCUAUUGCCCUUUGCACUGUAUUGCUUAUAUCCAUAUCUUUUAUCUACAUUCUAUCAGAGAAAAACACAUCGGUUUCCAUAACACAAAAGGUUUCUCCUUCCAAACCCUCAUCAUCCAUGGUAGGAACAGGAUCCAUGAUACUUGCAUUCAUUUUCUUGAAUUAUAUAUAUAAGAACAAAACUAAACAAGUAAUUAAUACAUACUAGAAAGUUAUGGUCUUUUUACCUUGUGAUUGCAGCGUAAGACCUCGACGUAUAGAGAUGAAUUAGAAGCAGCAUUGCGGGGAGCUUCCAUGGCGAAUAAAACCGUUAUCAUAGCCAUUGUGAACAAAGCCUACACUGAAGGCGAUAAACCGAUGCUAGAUAUAUUUCUAGAUGGGUUUUGGCUUGGAGAAGAUACACGAUCUUUAACGAACCACCUUCUGAUCGUGGCAGUUGAUCAGACGGCGUUUGACCGAUGCAAGUUUCUUAGAUUACACUGUUACAGACUGAAGACCGACGGCGAGGAUUUCGUCGGAGAGAAGGUUUACAUGUCGGAGGAAUUCAUAAAGAUGAUGUGGCAAAGAACCCGUUUCCUCGGAGAUGUUCUCCGGCGUGGAUAUAACUUUGUUUUUACGGUAAGUCCGUUUUAAUUACUUCACAUCUUAAUUUCUUUAUGCUUAUAACAUCUUUAGCUACGGAAAUAAAGAUUUGACUCGAAAUUUAUAAAUCCAUUUAAUUGGUGAGUGACUAUGUGAAUUACGCGUUGUCACCAUGAGAAAAAUGAAAUUAAGAUAGCUCUUAUUAUAUCAUGAAAAUACCGCCUGAUUAAUUACUUGAUUUCCAUUAUUUGUAGUUGAUAAAUGCAUCAAAAUACCCCCUGAUUACCUAUAAUAGAUUUUUUUAGAAAUAAUUAAAAUUCCUUAAUUGUCUAAAUGUUUAGAUUAAUCGUUUUACCAAUGGUUUUAAUUAUUUUUUAUGUUAAGUAUCUGGCCUUUAAUUGGCUUAACUGAUUGUACGGGAAAAGGGAUUGGGAAACUCGUUUGGGUCUCUUGGGUUUAAUUUUGUUUGUUUGCCUUUACUAUCUACCUUUUAUUGUUAAUUGUUAAUUUUGUUUCAAUGAAGUCUAAGUGUUCAAAAAAAAAUUUAUGAUACACAUGAUUUAUUUACUAUAUAUUUUUUGGAAAGUGUCUUAUACACCAUAAUUUAUAUUUUAUAAAAUUGUAUAAUAUAUUAUUUUGAAACACAAAUUAUCGUGUACAAAGAAAAAAAAAUAUUACACUCUACAAACAUAUUUUUUUUAGGUAUAUUAAGUACAAACAUAUUUUUUAGGUGUAUUUAUGCAUUUAAAAGAGUAUAAAGUGAAAUGUUAUACCUUUAUAUGUACCCCGUACAACUUCUGUUUUGACCUUUCUUAUUUAUAGAAUUCAAAGAAUUAUAAUUGGUAUGACCUUUCUUCUAUAUAGAAUUCAAAGAAUUUUAAUUUGUAUGACCUUUCUUCUAUAUGGAAUUCAAGAAUUUUAGUUUGUAUGACCCAAGGGAUCUAUCAAUUGUAACGUUUCCCUUUCCAUUCAUUAAUAUCUACAGUAAGUCCACAACCAUAACGGAAGAUGAAUUAAUAAACAAGAUUUAAUUAUAUUAAUAAUAUAGCAUUACUGGAUUCAAAUUUGUGCAUUAUUGAUUNNNNNNNNNAUAUAUAUCAUUUUUCCAUGCAAAAUAUACAUAUUUCAGUUUUAGAUGAUCACUGAUGUAUACUUCGUCUAAAACAACUUUGUGGCAUAAAUAGGAAAAGGAUAAAAAAAUCAUUUCAUAAACAGACAUAUAACAUGUGUUUUAUAUUUACAAAGAAAUAUUUUAUGUAUAUAACCAAUACUUAAUAAUAUUUAUUAAAUGGAUAACUCACAAAAAAGAACCAUAUCAUUAUGAAGAACUAAAAAAGACCAUAUGGUUAUGAAGAAGGAAUGUAAGUUACACUAAUUUUUAAUCAUCUCCCUUAUGAUCAUUAUUUCAAAACGGGGCAUCUCAAAUUUCAAAUGGUACAUUAUGAGGGUUUUUGGAUAAAUUAGCUUAUAUCUUAUUAAAUUAUAGUUUAUUAGUUUAUAGCAGUAAUAGAAAAAGCUUUUGUAAAAAUGUUUAGAUUAUAAAUAAACAAUAAGCUAUAAAUAAGGGGAUUCUUAUUAAAAUUAGCUUAUUUAUCUUAUCCUCACCACAAUAAAAUGAUUUUUAAUGUUUCCUAUCAAACCACUUAAACUUAACUUAUACGGAUAAACAAUAAGCUAUAAACACUCUUUUUUUUCCUUAUCCAAACACCCUUUAUAUAUAUAUUUUCUUUCAUUUGCUAACCAAACAAAUAUCAAAAAUCAAUCUACCCUUUUAAAUCCAAAAUGUUUACUACGAUUGAAAUUUUAAUUACUGACAAAAUUGAAAAAAAUGAUAUAUGUGGUUAUUACAAAUAUGUGUUUUAGUGGGUCUAAUUUUAAAUGUCUUAUAUGGUUUUUGGUCCCUAUCUUGUUAACUUUAACAUUUUGACUAUUAAUUCUUUUUAAUUAAUAAUUUAACUAUAUCUUGUUAACUUUAAUAUUUUGGCUAUUAACUUUUUUAAAAUGACAAUUUUAUCCUUAAAUACCAUUUUUAUAAUUGUGUCAUUUUACAAAACCAUAGCGAACACUUUUGCGUAUAUUUUUUUUAAUUUUAUUAAAUUAUUAUAUAUUAAUUCUUUUAAUUAACUUUUUUUAUUUGAGUAAUUUUUUUAAUUGAAUUAUUAUAUAUUAAUAAAUAUUAUUUUUAAUAUAAUAUUUAUAUAUUAAUAAAUAUUAUCUAUUGAAUUAUUGAUUUCUUUUAUUUAAUUCAUUUUUAUUGCAUUAAUUUUUUUUUUGUCGAACUGAGUUUUGAGACAUAUUUUAGAUAACACCACUCACGGACCAGGUGAUGGUGGUGCUAUUGUAUAAAAUAUGUUAUCUUCCAAAUAUUUAAAAUAAAUUAGGAGACAUUUGAUAAGUGUUACUUUUUAGGGUUUUUUAUUGAAAAUAAUAAAUAAACAAUCAAAAGAAAUUUAAAAAAAGUUUAAAAAAAUUAAAACAGUUAACAACAACGUCUAUUAAUCUAUAAACAAAAACGACAUUCAAAUCAAGCGAACACAGCCCAUGCGGAGUUUUGCCACAAAACUUUAACGGUUUGACAACUUUGGUUCCUUUUCUAAAAACUUGCUAAUUCCUACCCCUUUAAUUCUUUAGCCAUUUUGACACUUUUCGUCCUUGAAGUCAAAAGUUGUAUAUAUGUGCAUUAAAAAAAACACGGGUUUUCACCCAUGCACUUUCUACGUCUGUCAUUUGCUUCUUUUGCUAUAAUUUUUCUAUGUUAGUCAUCAUAUUUAAUUAUUUUGGUUUUCUCUACCCUCACAAAAGUCAACUAAGACAGUCAACAACAACUUCUAUUAAUUUAUAAACAAAAAUGGCAUUCAAAUCAGAUGCAUACGGACUAUACGGAGCAUGAGCAACAUAUCUAGUUUUGAUGUUAAAUAAAAGUAUAAAACUAAUCCAAAACAAUAUUAAUUUAAUCCCAAAUGCAAUUUUCUAGGUAAAAAUCGAAAAAAUUGAAAUUGUAUCUUUAGUAGCCCUAUAUUCCCGGUAAUGAUGUGAUAUUUACGUGUCUAUUUAUAAAAAAUUAAAAAAAAAAAAAAAAAAAAUCAAACUAUCAAAUUUAAUAUCGCAAUCUAUUAAUACCUAUACCUAUACCUAUACAUAUAUGAAAAUAUACACCAAUUGCAUCACGCGCGCCCUCACCCAUACGAUUCUUUGACAUUCUGUGAUGAAACUUGAGUCAUGGUUCUCUUUGACAAUUGAUAUUUUGUGUUGAAAUCUGGUACUAAUGGUUGUAAGUUGAAUCAAUUACAGGACACAGAUGUAUUAUGGCUGAGAAAUCCAUUUCCACACCUAACUCUGAAUUACGAAACUGCUGACCUUCAGAUCAGUGUGGACCAGUUUAACGGCAAUCAGUGGUCACAGAAAAACCCCAUAAACACUGGUUUCUACAUGAUCCGAUCCAACAACAAGACCAUCGCUUUGUUCGAUAAAUGGUAUGGAGAAAGAAACAAAUCACCUGGGAAAAAGGAACAAGAUGUUCUUAUUGAGUUAAUGAAGAAAGGAAGUUUUAAAAGGUUGGGAAUUAGGGUUAGGUUUUUGGACACCCUUUAUUUCAGUGGAUUUUGUCAAGAUAGUAGAGAUGUUAAGAUCGUUUCCACCUUUCAUGCCAAUUGUUGCCGGAGAAUCAAAGCCAAAGUCUCCGAUUUAACUGCUGUUAUUCAUGAUUGGAAGAGAUUUAAAGACCCCUCACCUUCACCCUUAGCCAAUAAAACCAUGGAGGAAUUUAGAUGGUCCAGUCAUUCAGCUUGCGAAAAAUCAUGGAUUUCAUAACUUCCACUAAUUUGAUGGUAAGAUCGAUGAUCCCAUAUAUGAUGGGGUUGUUUGUUAUCUCCUGCGAAAUGAGUUGUAAAUUAUUGUUUUCAUACUCCAGAUUGUUUAAAUGUGUUACGAUUAUUUUGUUCAAAUCAUGUACGUAUCAGUGAAAUAAAACCAGAAGGUAUAAUUUUCGAGUCUUCUUAUUAGUAUUUAUAGAAUAUUACAAAAAUGAAGUCCAAAACAGUAUUCCAAUCAUCUUCGGUUCCAUGAAUUACGACAAGCUCGGUGAUCGGACCAAUGAAACUCAUCGUUGAAGGAAGCUUUAAACCUCCUCCAAUCAUGAAGAACCUUGAUCAAAUCAGAUUCCUUUGCCUUAAUGCUCCGGCAACAAUUCGCAUGAACAAUGGAAACCUUCUUAACGUCUUUACUAUUCUCACAAAAUCCACUAAAAAAGAUGGUGUCUAAAAACCUUACUCGAAGACCUAAUCUUUCAAACUCCCCUCUUCGCAUCAGAUCCAAUAGAACAUCUUGUUCCUUCUUCCCUACUACUGAAUUGUCUUUCUCUCCAUACAAUUCAUCGUACAAAGCAAUCGUUUUGUUGUUUGAUCUGAUCAUGUAGAACCCCGUGUUAAUCGGGUUGUCUUCCGACCACUGGUCGCCAUUAAACUUAUCAACACUGAUUUGAAGGUCUAAGCUUUCGUCGACGUUCAGCCUUGGAAACGGAUCCCUUAGCCAUAAUACAUCCAUAUCCUGUAAAUUUCAAGAACAAAAUUAAAGCUUCAACUAAAUUAACAAAUUUGAUUAAUUGGUUGGUUGACCAGUUGUUUUUUCGUACAGUGAAAAUAAAGUUGUAGCCACGCUUAAGAACAUGUCCAAGAAAAAGGGUUCUUCGCCACAUCAUUUGUAGUAAAUCAUCCGCCAUGAAAAGCGUCUCGACACCUUCUGUUUUCAAUUUGUAGCAGUGCAAUUGUAAAAAGGUGCACCUGUCAUAAGCCGGUUGAUCAACUGCAACGACUAAAAGGUGUUUAGUAAGCUUAUAUGUAUCUUCUCCUACCCAAAACCCAUCAAGAAAUAUAUCCAGCAUCGGCUUAUCUCCUUCCAUGUAUGCUUUAUUCACAAAGGCUAUGAUCAGAGUUUUGUUUUCGUUUGAAACUUUUGCCAAUGCCUCUUCUAAUAGAGCUCCAUAACUCUUUUCAUCAUCUUUUGAUGAUGAUGAUGAUGGUGAUUGUGGUGGUGGUAAAUGUGUAGGAUGGUAAAACCUAUGGGUUAUGUUGGUUAUUGACACAGAUCCAUCUUUGUCGGAUCCAAGAUAUAUGAAUACAAGAGACACAACGGAGAAAAUCCAGAUGCUAAGAAGGAUUCGAGCCGUAGGGAAUUGAUCUGCUGAUAUUUCUUGUUCUAGUGUUCUCAUGACGAUGUAAAUGGUGUUUUCCGGCGAAAUUUGGUGGUGGAUGACUGGCCGGAGCUAGGGAGGGUUGUUAUGUGAUAUUAUAUUGUUGGAUGGAUAAAGUUUCAUGGUGAUGAAAAAUAUGCGAAAAGUUUGAGGAAAUUGAAGAAAUUUGAUUGAUAAAGAGAGGAAAGAAAGAGGGAAGAUGACGAUGAUGAUACAAACCAUUUGACAUGAAACGAACAUAACUAACCUAAGUGAGAUGUGAUGAUUGAUGAAGCUCAAUGGACAAGCGACUUGUUUGUCUAAUUAAGAGGACGUCUUUCUACUAUACAAAUUCGGAUAUGAAGUAUUGUGGAAAUACAUCAAAAACCUUCAUAUUAAAAUUAAAUACAAAACGAUCCACAUCUCAUAUAAAAAACAUACCCAAUGUGUUCAAAUCUACCUAAAAUGUGAUUAAAUAUUUGUAACAUUAUAAGAUGUUUUUAAUUUUUUCAUAAAACAAAUAUAGUAUUUUAGGAAAUCAAAGAAGAGAAAAUAACCUAUUUGACCAUGUUGUAUGUAAAUAGAAGAAGAGGAAAAAAGGAUAAUAUUUCACUGCCAUUUAAAACUGAGAAAUUACAGAGCUUAAAUAGGAAACAAAAACAUAAACUGAAAGAAAGAUAAAAAGAUAGACUAAGACUCUUGACUUUUGUAACUGAAAAACAACUUUUAAGACUCUACUAAUGCAGUAAUUAAAGACACAUGGCAGUGAUUAUUUUGAAUCAAUUAACCAACACUCCCCCUUGAUUCAAAGUUGCAUACUCCGAGCUACAUUCUAAAGAACUCAUGUUUGGCUUGAGGAAGAGAUUUGGUGAAUAUAUCUGCUGUCUGCUCAUUUGUUCCACAAAAACUCAGUUUAAUCUUUCCAUCAGUGAUCAACUUGCGAAUAAAAUGGUAAUGCACAUCUAUAUGCUUCGUACGAGCAUGGAAAGCAGGGUUCCUGGCCAUUGCAAUGGUUGAUCUGUUGUCACAAAAUACCUCUGUUGCAUCUUCUUGCUCAACACACAAAUCAACAAGAACUUUUCGCAGCCAUAAGGCUUGUCGAGCUGCUGCGUUUGCUGCUAUGUACUCAGCUUCUGAUGACGAUAGAGCCACUGUAUCUUGCUUCUUAGAACUCCAUGUUACAGCUCCGGAACCAAAGCUGAAAACAUUGCCUGAUGUGCUUUUGCGAUCAUCUACGCACCCAGCCCAAUCACUAUCGCUGAAGCCAACCAGCCUAAAUUCAGAAACUCUUGAAUACCAGAUGCCAUAAUUCUUGGUACCUGCUACAUAAUGAAGAAUCCUCUUGGCUGCACCAAGAUGCAAUUUUGUAGGGUUGUGAAGAAACCUUGAUACUACGCUAACAGGAAAAGAAAUGUCCGGUCUACUAUGUGUCAGGUAGUUCAGACCACCAACUAGACUUCUAAACACACUUGAGUUUGUUUUAUCGGAUCCAUCUUCAUGUUGUAGCUUCUCAUUGAUGUUCAUUGGUGUUGUUGAUACUUUACCACCAGUCACAUUGAACUUUUUGAGCAGGUCCGUAGCAUACUUCUUUUGACAUACAAAAAUUCCAUCUUUUCUUUGCAGCACUUCAAGCCCAAGAAAAUAUUUUAACAACCCUAAAUCUGUCAUCUCAAAUGUGCUCAUCAUGCAAGAUUUAAAAUCAUCAAUUAAGGACUUAGAUGUUCCCAUAUAGAUGAUAUCAUCCACGUAAAGACAGACUAACAAGAAUUCUCGAUUACCUUGUUGCUUAAGGUAAAGAGUGGGCUCAUUCUCACUUCUUUUGAAUCCGUUUUCUUGAAAGAAAGAAUCAAUCUUACUGUACCACGCACGUGGAGCCUGCUUCAAACCGUACAAAGCCUUUCGCAACUUGUAGGCUUUAUUUUCAGCAUCUUUAACAACAAAUCCUUGAGGUUGAGCUACAUACACUUCUUCACUUAACUCACCAUUCAAGAAGGCGGACUUCACAUCAAAUUGAAAAACAGGUAGUUGAAAUUGUGCAGCCAAUGCUAUAAUUAUUCUAACUGUCUCGAAUCUAGCCACAGGGGAAAAAGUUUCCUCAUAGUCUAUACCGUAUUCUUGUGAAUACCCUUUCGCAACAAGACGAGCUUUGUGUUUUUGAAGACUUCCAUCAGCAUUAUACUUUGUUCGAUAUACCCAUUUAAGUCCUACAACAUUCUUGUCUUUUGGAACAUCAACCAACUCCCAUGUUGAGUUUCUUUCAAUGGCUUGUAUUUCUUCUUUCAUAGCUUUCUGCCACUCAAGUUGCUGAACAGCUUCUUCAUAAUCGAUUGGAUCUGUUGCAUACAAGGCAAAUGCACAGGAGUUGUAAACAUCAGCCACGGAUUUGAACUUCUUCGGUGUAUCAUCAUAAGUGUCUCUCGGUGGUGGAUUAUUUGAUGAAUUGUCACUAUCUGAAUCUGAACUUGAAGAACCUUGAUCACCCUGGGGUAUUUCUGCAUUAUCUCCUGAACUUGUGGAUGGUACAUCUUCAAAGUUUAUAACCUGAUCUCUUUCUUUUUGGGUAUUAGGUAUCCACCUUGCUUCUUCNNNNNNNNNNNUGCUUAUUAUCACUUUGCCACUAAGAGGGUUAUAUAAACGAUAUGCUUUGGAUUGAGGACUAUACCCAAUGAAAAUACAUUUUAGAGAUUUUUCAUCAAGUUUUGAACGAGAAUUUACCAAAGCAUAUGCUUCACAACCAAAGACUUUUAAGUGGCUUACUGUGGGUUUUCUACCUGUCCAAGCUUCAUAUGGUGUGCGAUUCAUAACAGCUCUAGAUGGAGAGAUAUUUAGAAUAUACACGGCAGUUGCAAUAGCCUCUCCCCAAAACUGAUCAGACAGUCCCUUCACUUUCAGCAUGCUUCUUGCCAUUUCUUCUACUGUUCUAUUUUUCCUCUCUGCUACCCCGUUUUGUUGGGGUGUUUCAGGUGCUGUUAAUUGCCUGUAAAUGCCAUUUUUAUCACAAAAAUCAUUAAACUCAUUAGAUAAAAACUCGCCACCACGAUCAGUUCUGAGAGCCUUGAUGUUCCUGCCACUCUGUUUCUCCACAAGUGCUUUGAAAUUCUUGAAACACUCAAAGGCUUCUGACUUGAGUUUUAGGAAAUAAACCCAACUCAUACGACUGAAAUCAUCAGUAAGCAGGAAAAAAUACCGACUUCCACCAAAUGUCUCAGCUUUCAUAGGACCACACAAGUCAGCAUGUACAAGUUCUAGGCAAUCUAAAGCUCUCCAAGAACUUGCAAUGGGAAACGACUUUCUGCUUUGUUUUCCAUAAACACACCCCUCACAAAAACCAACUUCACCAAUAUUUGGCAGCCCGAAAACCAUCUCCUUUCUGCUUAGCAAUCUCAGCCCAUUUACAUUCAAAUGCCCAUAUCGUAGAUGCCAAAGCCUGGCCUCAUUAUCACAACUAACUGUUAAGGCUUUAUAAUCUUUUGUAACAUCGAGAGGGAACACUUGAUUUUGAGUCAUUUGGACAAUUGCCAUAGGCUGCCCAGAUUUCUUGUUAAUUAUGGAACACGUGUCAUCAUCAAAUACUACACGAUGUCCACUUCUCAUUAGCUGUCCAACACUCAGUAAGUUGUAUGCUAAACUUGGUACAAAUUGAACAUCAUGAAGAACUUUAGUAUUACCUUGCAUGGUUUCAAUAGUAAUUGUACCUUCGCCUUUAACUUCAAUCUUUCGGUCAUUCCCAAGUCGGACUUCACUUUUCUUUGUUUCAUCAAGAUCUCGAAAUGAAGAUCUUGAACCAGACAUGUGAUUCGAGCAUCCACUGUCUAUAUACCACACACGAUCUGAAACAUUAGUAGUUGUAGACAUAGUCAUAAAUAGCCUACCUUCUUCUUCCACCUUUUCAGUAAAGUUAGCUUUAUUUUCAUCUUUUUGCUUGGUCCAACAAUCAGCUUCAACAUGUCCAGACCUAUUACAAUACCGACAUUGCAGGUUGCUCUUUUGGUAACGUUGAUCUGCAAAGUUUCCUCUUCCUCUUCCACGACCACGACCUCGAAAAGUGCCUCUUCCUUGCCCACGACCACCGGAAGAACCACCAGAUUUUUCUGGUCUGCCUUUAAAAGAAUUGCCUCUUACUUGGAAUGCUUUCUCAUCACCUUUUUCGCUGCCCCUGUUUAACCUUUCUUCGUGUGCAAUCAAAGAACUCAUCAACUCAUCAAACGUGUAAGUUGAUAGGUCCUUAGAUUCUUCAAUCGCGACAACAACAUGAUUAAAUUCCUUGGUCAGGCUUCGUAGGACUUUGCUUACUAUUGUUUCUUCACUAACAUUUUCACCAUAAGUUUUCAUGUGACUGACAAGUCCAGAUACUCUAGAAAGAAAUACUUGCACAGAUUCCUUUUCUUUCAUAACCAAAGUUUCAAAUUCACGACGAAGUGAUUGAAGUUUCACAGUGAUUACCUUUUUAUCACCCAUAUAUUCUUGCUUCAAAAUUUCCCAUGCCUCCGUGGAUGUUGAUGCUGCAGCAAUACGAGGAAAUAUUUCAUCAUCCAACGCCGACUGAAUGUAUAGAAGAGCCUUUGCAUCCUUCUUACGAGUGUCCCGCAACGGUUGAUCUGGUUGAGCCGGUGCUAGAGUUGGCUCUGUGUAUCCAUUCUCCACCAAUUCCCAAAGCUCCUGGGAUUUGAACAAAGUCUUCAUUUUUAGACUCCACAAAUGAUACUUUUCUCCUUUGAAGACUGGAAUCAGAGGCUGAGUUGCAGAACUGUUGUUGUUGCUUGCCAUUGCUAUCUCUCUUAGGUGUUUCACUCAAUUACUCCUUUCUUUUGCUUGAUAAAGAAAGAAGCGGAUCAGAACCUGGAACAGCUCUGAUACCAUUGUUGUAUGUAAAUAGAAGAAGAGGAAAAAAGGAUAAUAUUUCACUGCCAUUUAAAACUGAGAAAUUACAGAGCUUAAAUAGGAAACAAAAACAUGAACUGAAAGAAAGAUAAAAAGACAGACUAAGACUCUUGACUUUUGUAACUGAAAAACAACUUUUAAGACUUUACUAAUGCAGUAAUUAAAGACACAUGGCAGUGAUUAUUUUGAAUCAAUUAACCAACAGACCAACUUAAACCUAAAUUCAUUUUGGCCUAUAUCUUUUGAGGCAAGGUUUAAUUCUAGCAUUGCACUAUAAGAACCUCACUAUUAGCGGCGACAGGCGUCACCGCUAAAAGUUCGGUUUGUCACCGUUAAAUCGCUAAUAGCUGUUACGGAAACGUGUCAGGUCGUCGGUUUCAAAUAAUUAAUUAAAUGGCUGCCAUCACGGUUGAAAAUAUUUGUUAGCUUAAGGAAAUAGUUGAUCAUUGUUUUCGUUCGUGUAUAUUUGGUUAUGUAUAUAUUGAUUGAAACAUGGAUUUCUCUUUUUUUUUGUAACAGGCUGGAUGUAUUGCUAUUGUAUAUUUCUUUAUGUCCUUGUAUAAUUAAUGGUGUACUAACGAACAUAACAAUUAGGAUAUUAUGAUUUUAUUUCCACAAUUUAUGAUAUAUAAGUUUCUUCACUUAUUUACCCUUUUUAAGUUCCUAUAUUUUCAACAUGCUUAUUCAACUUAGGUUAGGUUUGUUACGAUUUGAUUAUGCAGGUCUUUGUUCUACUUUGAUGGAAAACUAGAACAAAGUUCGACAUUGGCCACAAUGUCUACAUUUGAUGAUAUAUUACUAGAUGGAUUAAUGCAAUGGUCUUGUUACACUUUUAUCUUUUCGGAAAAAGGUAAAUUAUCUCUAUGUUUCUUUUUCAUAAUUUUUUAAGGUACUGUUUUCUGUGCCUAUUUUUAACCCAUCAAAAAAGUAGUGGAAAGCAAAUAGAAAUGUAGUGGUUUCUUUGCCAUUUUUUGCUCGGUGUAAUGUCAAUUGAACAAAACUGAAAGAGUUAAUAACUCAGGAUAUACAAUUAGAGAUCCUUAUAGAUGUCAAACCACUGAAUCGACCAACCAAUUGAUAUUUAAAAUUUUUUGGUUCAUAUAUAACAGAAAACAUAAUAACCACAUAAUAUUUUAUAACAACAUAUUAUCUAAGAAUGAUAUAUUUUUUUUUGCUAAUCGUAAAAACCAUAUUUACCCACAGUUCACACCUGGUCUUUUUUGCUUGCCAAAUUUUGAUGUGUAGACACAGUUCAGCAAAUUUACUCUGAUACUAACUAGCUGGGACAGAAAAUGACAAAAACACAUAAUCUUUGAGACGUUAAAACUAAAUAAAAACCUCAAGAAAAAAGAUUUCAAAAACAAACAGUGAAAAGAAACCACGCUACAAUUCUGUUACAAAAAGGGGUUCUAUCCUAACUAUAAAGACUUACCCAAAACCUAGUUGAAACAAUGAACUAAAGAGAUAUGUAUUUAGGAGUUAGGACAGCUGUAAAAAAUUUAAAAACCUUAAGAGCUCUAAAAAAUAUUAAACAUACUUGAUUGUUAAAAUCGGCAUAAAAGAAGUAAAAAGGGAAGAUCGUUUACAUCUAAAUGUCAUCCUACUUUCAGUUUUAACCCAUACUAGUAUAUCACUUCAAUUUUAAUGUCAGCUAAAAUUUAUUUUUAACCUAUUACAGCAUACUAGCAUACUACUUUUGCUUCUUAUUAUUAUAACAAUAUACAUUCAUUUUUUUCUUAUUUAGGCAUCAUAGUUUCUAUUGGCAUCCUACUUUUCUAGAUAAGAGUUUGUUUAACGUCUCAGAAUCAACAUGUACAUCUAAAAUUGCACCCCACAAACGACCUUAAAUUCAUUUUCUUGACUUUUACCUUUUUUACCUGAAACAUAUGAACAUUUAAUUGGAUUUAUUAAAUGUGCCGAUGUGCAUUAGAUACAUUUAAUAUAUCCAACCAAAUGACACACACAAAGAUGAAUUUCAUGGAUACAAGGUCAAAGUUCUACAUCUUUGUUGUUUUUUUUGUUUUGUAAGGAUGUUUUUUAUAUGCCUUUAUAGUUUUUAAAGUUACUCAUCAAUGAAAAAUUCUUUCCACCAGCCACUCUUUCUGACCUGGAACAUGCUACAACUGGCAUGGUUUUUUGGGUUAACCUCCUAUGUACUAAGCGAUGAUUUUUUUUCUUCAAAGAUGAGGAAAGAACUGAUGUAGUCGGUGUAACAUCCCAAAAAUACGGUCCAAAAUUUUCAUUUUAAAUUAUUAAAUAAACCAUAGUUAUCCAAAAACAUAAGUAAUUGCAUCAAAUCAGAGUAUCAUAUCAAAACACAUGUCAAUAUAACAGAGUAAAGCAUCCCAAGCUAAAAUCAUGGUUUGUGCACUGCAGUCAUCCCGAGCUCUUCCAUUUGCUACCGGAAGUACCCGAAACCAAAACUGAAAAUUGUAAGCAUGAAGCUUAGUGAGUCUCCCCAAAAUACCACAUAUCAUACACAUAAUCACAUAAUAACAUAACACGGGUUUUUCCCGCUACAUCGGGCCCCGCCGACAUCGGACCGGAGUCCGGCAUUGGGCCCCGUCUGGCAUCGAACCGAAAUCCGAUAUACAUAUAAACAUAUCGACAAAUACAUAUAAUGUAAUCACAUAACAUAAGCAUAUAAACAUUCAUCGGGCCCCGCCCAACAUCGGACCAAAAUCCGGAAGCAAACAAACAUUCCUCGGGUUUUCCCGACAUCGAACCGAAGUCUGGAACAUAUAAAACAAGCACAUGCAAGAAUCACGAAGACAUCAAGCAUACAAAAAUUCCUCGGACUUUCCCCAGCAUUGAACCGAAGUCCAUAAACAUAUAAGCCUACAUCGGGCACUACCCGACAACGAACCUUAGUCUGGCAUAUACUAACACACAUAAACGGGCCGGUAUUGGUGCCUUUGACCCGUUCAUACAAGAGGAAAACUCACAUCGCAAAGUUGAAUGCCGAAUCUCACGGUAAGGAAUCUCUAACGGCUGCUCCAACGACUCCCCAGCUAUCAUUAUCACAAUAACACUUAGUCAAAAUCCAAUAAUCCUUCUUAGGGUAAAAUGACCAUUUUACCCCUAGUGAAAGUCAACAUUCUGGUUGAAUCAACUCGCCGAGUUGACCCUGAGGGGUUUUUGGCUAUAAGAACAUCCUAUGUGCUCAUACAAAUCCUAAUGCUUGGAUCUAGGUUUCUCUAUUGUACAUGCAAGUUAUCCAAGACUAUAAACCCUAAUUCUAGCAUUCAAGUAAUCAUAUUAACAUGAGAAUAGGUUUAAGAUAUUACCUUGAUUGUUAUGUAGCAAUAACAAUCCCAAUUCCUCCUUGUAUUGACUUUAGAAAGCUUAGAGUCACAAAUGUCACUCCUCUAAUGGUUCACAAACACCAUAAGCAAGAUGAUGAAGAGGAGAGAGGAUGGAGGCUGCCAAAACUCGUGUGAAACCCUAGCAAGAAGCUUAGCCACGUUUUUGGUCCUUAAGGGAUCUAUAUAUAGUGAGGCAAUUAGGGUUAUCUAACAAGGAAACCCUAAUUUGGAUGCUUAAGCCCUAAGCAACCCAUGGAGCCCUUUCCUUAAGGCCUUGGACGAUUUCAUAUGGGCUUCCCCCAUAGAAUUCGUCCACCUUAUAAUAUAAGGCAAUCCAUGGCCCAAAUUGCAAUUAUCUUAUAAUUACAAUUCCAGUCCCUUAAGUUUAAUUAAUCUCUUUUAGUCACAAAACUAAUUACCAAUUAAUUCUUGACUAAUAUUAAUUAAACAAUAUGAUUUCUCCUUUAAUAUAUUAUUCUCAUAAUAUAUUAAUAAAUCAUAUUUAAUCCUUUCUCUCCAUAAUUCAUCCUAUCAAGUUGCUUUGGUGAAGGCAACCCAAAAGGACCAUGCACCAUCGGGUCAAGUACAUACCAAAAUAGUUAUGGACUUAGACACUAAUCCAACAGUCUCCCACUUGGAUAAGUCUAAUAACUAUUAUGCGUAUGACUUCAGAUCCUGAUCUGCAAUCGUAGCUUUCCAAAGCCGCUGUCAACUCUGAUCCUAUCAGAUACGCGUGUCCUUAGAUAAGGGAUCAUAUAUUCCUCCAUUCUAGAUAUCAUAUGAGAUAUGAUUUCAAAUCAUUCUCUUUGUACUAUAUCUCGAUUUCCGAUUUAUGACGACUGACUAAUUGAACAAAUCAAAUUAGCCCUAGCCCGGCCGAGCAUUUACGUUUGUCAUCACUAAAUCAUCGAGGGGCCCAAAGAUAUCGCUUUUAUCCUACUUUGGAUAAAAGGAACGGAUAAACUUUGAUACAAUGCUUGCUUGCACUCACUCACCGAAUCACACACAACAAUAUGUUUUAUAACACCAAGUUACUAGUGCGUUUACAUAUUAUCAAUGUGCAACCGAUUUGCAAGAUACAACUCACACAUCUCGGUUUCAAGAAUAUAAGAUGUUAUCGUCUCACCAAUCACUCGUGAUACAAUUCAUGGAGUGAUCCAAGUGAGCGUGGGUUUAAUCCAAUGCUCAAAUCAUAUUCAUAAGCACUCAUGAACGUUGCAGCAAACAUUUGCUUAUGUCUAAUACUCUUUUAGACAAUCCACACACCAAUUCACGACAGUCUUCAUUCAUAUCUACUUCCAACAUAUGAACGACUGUGGCCCGUUCGAAUAAUUCGAUUAUUCUUAAUAAACUCAAUUAUUCUGGAAGUCAAAACAUGCAAAUGUGAAACACAAGAAUAAUACUAAUCCCAUAUGGCCUCAAACCUUUGAGUAUAAAUAAAACACCUUUUAUUUAUCACCAUAUCGAUUACUCAUUAUUUGUCGUUUCGGGUAAUCAACUUCUUACUUGAAUUAUUACACUUGUCCCAUGCUCUUAGCAUGCACACAAUGUUUACCUAUGGUUCUUACUUUUGUGAAAUAGAUCAAAUUGAACACAUUUCCAAUCAUUCUCAUUUCACAACUCCAAAUCCUUUUUCAUAAGUGUGAGAAUAUCAAAUUCUUGUUACUUAUAAAAUAUGCUAGAUUCUAACAUUCUAUGCAAUGAUCCUUUCGUAAUGUCACUGCACCAAAGUCACAAAGACUAUUGCCAAUGAUAUUACAAAGUCCUCUAUCGGAGAUUGUUACAAGACAAUUCCUUAGAUAUGAUGUCUCUCACUCAAAGUACAUUCCUUUGAACAUCCUUUUGCAUAAAAGUUUCUAAUCUAGACAUAGAUUUUCAAUAUUCAAUUCCCAAUAUGGACACGCUUCCAUAUUUUCCAUAUGACAACUCAUUCUUAAUAGAAUCUUAUCUAUUCGUAAUGAUGUCGAUAUGGUCCAUCCAAUAUGGAAACAUUUCCAUAAUUUCCAUAUGACAACUCAUUCUUAAUAGAAUCUUUUCUAUUCAUAAUAAUGUCGAUAUGGUCCAUCCAAUACCAUGCUUCCAACUACUCACAAGCGACCAAUCCUCGUCGAACUUUGGAUUGUCCUUUGAUAGUUGUUUAAUUAUUUUAGUCAAAACCAAUUCUAGUCCCUUUUCCCUCUAAAUGCGCUCGACAUUUGGAAAAUUUUAGAAUGGUCAAACAUUAAAGCAUUUGCAAUCGAUCCUAUACCCGAAGCGUAUGGGACACGACGCAUAAUGUUUUAUUUGCUAUGUUCUCAAAAUUCGAAUUGUGAAGAGGGAUGCCGUAAUCAUAAUCGAAAUUUUAAGAACACACUAUGUACCUUUGACUAAAUUUAUUAACAUUUCUCAACCUAAUCCUUUAGAUUUGAAAUGAAGCAUAAUAUUCUCUCCCUUAAUUAUAGCAAAACAACUUUACAACCCUUACGACUUUGCAAGGUAUAACUCUUGUUUUCUAUAAUUAAUAUUGCCAACUUGCAAUACGUGCCUUAAUAAUCAUACAAUCAUAACAUUUAUGCUCCCACUAUCAUGAUGAUUAUUAUAAAACAUAACACUUAUGCUCCCACUAGCUUCGACAUGUAUUCAUAAACAUCUUAACUUUCAGAAAAACAAUACUUAUUGAAUUUCUUAAGUUCAUGUUUCUAAUACUUAGUGCUUUGAUAAUCUUUUAUCAAGGCUUCUUGAACUUAUACACCUUUGCCUUCGAUAGUUCAUAUGUGUGUCUAAACAAUUAAGACUAAUUGCCAAACCUCACAAUUCAAAUUAUGGAAAGGGAUACCGUAACCAUAAUCGAAUUCGAGAAUGCAAUUUUACAAUCACUAUCUUCUUAAAAUCUUUCUUAGUGAAAGCAUUUCCUCACAAUCAUUUUCAUGAAGGAGGAAAUCUUAUGACACUUAGAUUUAAACGGUGUAUGUGUUCCUAUCCAUGUGAAUUUGUUAAAACCAAAGUUUACGACAAAUUCAAACUCAUAUGGACCGAACUUUCUUAAUCUUGAUUUCUUGCCUUAUGGUAGCACAGCUGCCCACCAUGUCUUCCAAGUAGUUAAGCAGCUCACCCUUUCCUAUCAAUGUACCUUUCAUUGAUUAAGGUGCUUUGCCUUUUAUGCGUUCAAAAUGAGAACUCAUAGAACUCACAUGCAUAAUUAACUCGAUUGGAUUGGCACAGAAACAAAAUAAUGUCAACACGAUAGGUUGUAAACCUCAACUCGUGUGCUAGUGAUGAUCGAUAAGGUUUAUUUGAUUUGUUCUUGAAACCUUUCAAGACCAUUAAGACUCCCACUGACUCCUUGACAUAUAAGAUUCUCUUGUCAAUAAACAUUUCUUGACAAACAAAUAUUCAAGAGUUAGUGUAGCUUUUAUCAAAACACUUCAUAAAUUGGUCCUAGUUGGUCUUUGUCUUAUCCAAGACAUCACAACUUUCCACAUUUGAUGAAUGUUAUAAACCUUCUUAAUACUUUUCACUCAAUGUCACAAUCUUAACUCUAAGACUUGUUUUGGAACGAAGUAUGAUUGACUUCUUGAUUUAACCAUUUCUUCAAUUCUUGAUUCCUCUUCUUAGACAUACAAUUGUACUAAGACUCACUUAGAGGAUCAAUUGAGAUAUGGUUCUUAAUCAUUAAGACCUAUCAUAAAGCAUAAAAGGUACUCUCCCUUCUUCUUAGAAUGGAGAAACUUUUAUCUUUCUGCCUACUUGAUUCUUCUUAUUCGUUCUGCUAUUGAUUUAAACUUUUUCAAUCAAUUCAGAAUUACACUUAAUCUUGUAAGUAUAAUCAUAUUUACUAAACCUUUAGUAAAUCAUGACGAAUAUCUUUGUUACUCUUAUGGUGGACUUGAUCAACACGCAACUUUGUGUACUCGAUCUCCUAGUCCUUCACUUGACACUUUGUCAAUGAAUUAGUCUAAUUUCCAAAUAUGAAAUUUCUCAUUCAUCGUGCAACCAAGUUGCAUGAUUCCAAGUUUCUGUCCAAUUGAAACUUGGGCGAUGAGAAACUCUCCCUAUUUGGUAAAUUCUCGACUUUCCAUAAAUAACAUAAUAAGAACCAAAUCCAUUAUUGCUAAUAAUAGAAACAUUCAAACAUCAAUUUUUCAUAUACGCCAUUGCAAGGAUAAAUAAAUAAUAUAAAAUCAAAAUUUAUUUUAUUGCGGAAAAAAUUUGUCCUUACAAUGCAAUUCAUUGAAAAACUAUGCUAAUACAUCUUUCUUAGCAAUCUAAUUCUAACUCUAAGUAGUAGCUCAAGAAUCUAAUCUUCGAGAAAUGCGAUCGAAAUCCAUUCCUUCACGGUUAGAUUCUGCUCACUUCUUCCCUUAAGCUUCCUUUCUUUUCUUCGAUCCUACAAAACAUCAAUUGUAAUCUUAUCACAUUAUGUAUUAAGAAUCUAGAAUAGAAGCUUAAAAGAGUUAGUUAAUGGAUUUUACCUAUAUUAGAGCCAUACGUUUCGACUCUCCCAUCUCUUAGAUCUCUUAGGUAAAUGGGGCAGCUUCGUCUCCAAUGCCCUUUCUCUUGGCAAUAAAAGCAAAUUGACUCUUUUGGAACAUGACAUGGAACUACUUCAGACAUUGCCUUUCUCUUAUGAUCAAACUUUUCGAUCAUAGCAUGUCUUUCGUUGCCAUUGUCUAUAUCCAUAGAGGUCUUGAAGGCAGAUUCACCAAUCAACUUUGCUUUUCUAUUGCGCCAAACCAUUGCUGAUUCAGCAGCAAUAAGCAUAUAGGUGAGAUCUAUAAGGGUCACGUCGCGGUUCAUCAUAUAGUACUCUCUUACGAACUCACUAUAUGAGUUAGGAAGUGACUGAAGAACCCAAUCAACAGCCAUUUCCUCACAGACAACGGAUCCCAACAUUCUUAACCUAUCAAUGUGUGACUUCAUCCCUAGGACGUGUGCACACACCGACUUUCCUUCUUUAUGUUUACUUGCCAAAAGGGCUUGAGUGAUCUUGAACUUUUCAAGCCUUUGAACUUGUGGGUUAGGGAGAAUAAUUGGAGGAGGAGGAGGAAGUGAAGCAUGAUUUCUUGUUCCUCGAUCGAAUCGUGGAAUAUCAUCUUCAUGUGGAAUGCUUGUUCCACGGGAUUUGGGAAGACCAUAGUUGUCGAACUUUGACAUCUACAAAACGGGAGAAAACGAAUUCAAGUUAGUUGAUUGAUUGAGUCCUUAGUAAAUCACCCAAAUGAGAUACUAAGGCUAGGACCCAACACAAUAUUCUACAACUCGGGAGAGGGAUGCCGUAACCCUAAUUGCAGAAUAUUUGAAGGUAAGUGAAUGACGAUUCACUAAUUUCCACCAUGAAAAACGAAAAAGAAAUUUAAGUUUUAAAUCUAUGAAAACUCCUAGAUCCUUUGAGAUUCAUUGAACUUUCAAUGGCAUGUUUAAAUCUCGAUAUGCCCCUCUUGUUUGUGACUGGGAUGCCGAGGAUCACAAAGCGGGUGUGAAUAACCAUGCAAACUUACAUGGUGCCCUCACAUGUUACAGUCACCUAUUCGAUGUGCCGGUAAACCACACACGCUCCACCGAACUAUGACAAACAUUGAGUCACCCUUUGCUACCUUUGCUUAGAACCAUUUAGUGUGCCGGUAAACCACACACGCUCCACUAACGUCUUCGCAAGGGCACAAAGUGUAAUUUCAUGGAAUUGCAUCAAUUCACUUUUGCCUAAGUAACUAAGAUUGGGAAUUUUAUGAAAACAUUUAGUUACUUUAAUAAUUCAUUAUACUUAUAAUGGAAGGUUUCGUCCUAUCCUACCCGUUCGGCUAACGACCCUCCACUAGUCAAGAGUGCGGUGGGUAAGAGUGGAUACCCAUUCAAUCGCCAUUUUAUAGGCAAUUUCCUUAAACACCCCUUAUAGACCAGCUUCGUGAAUGAGGCCUACUAACGGUAAGACUGACUUUUACUCAUACAUAUAUAUAAUGUUAGACUUUUAAUGUUAUAUAUAGUAUAGGGUGUAUUUUACACUUUUAAAAUACUAGGUGGUCUAAUUUAACAAUUAUACUUUUAAUUCAAUUAAAUUGUAAACCAAAACUUUUAUGGAUUUAUUAAACCUCUUUUAAUUAUACACCUUAAUUAAUUAAUAAAACCAUAAGGGUGUGAUUUGAACUUUUUCAAAACAAUACUAGGGUUUUAGAAUUUAACAUUCCUAAUUAAACUUUUAAUCAACUUUUAAAUUCCAAAACUUGAGGGCAAGUUUUGAAACAUUUCAAAACAUUAGGGUUUAGAAUUUAAAUAUACAUCAAAAUUAAACAAUUAAUCAAAAUUUAAAUUCCAAAACUUGAGGGCAAGUUUUGAAACCUUUUUCAAAACAUUAGGGUUUCAACUAUUUAAAUUUCAAAACUAAACUUUUGAGUUCAAAUUUAAACUAUAAAACCUAAAGGGGAAAAUAUGAAACUUUUCAUAACACAAGGAUCAAAUAACAAAUAAUCUUAAUUAACAAUUAAUCACAUAAUUAUCCAUAUUUGAUUUAUUUAAUGAUUUCUUGCAAAACAAUUUACCAAUUUAAUCAAAAUAAUUAAUCAAUUAUCACAUAAGGAAACAAAUAUUUUAUUAAUUGAUAAAUAUCUUCAAUUAGAUCAAGAAUAUAGUCAUAUAUAUCAAAAAAUCGGAUUUAUAUUGAUCUAAUAUGAUAAGGCAACUAUCCUUAAGCAAAAAUAGCAAGAAAUCCUGGUUUUCCCUCCUUCUGACCAGCCGACUCGUCGAGUCAGGCAUGGACUCGUCGAGUCAGCAUGGACUCGGCGAGUUCAUCUAUGGACUCGGCGAGUUCAGCAAGCAGAACCACAAAAAACGAAUUUUUUCAACAUACAAGGCAUCAAUACAAUAGAAACCAAUCUAGGCUCUGAUACCACUGAUGGGUUUUGGUCAUAAGAACAUCCUAUGUGCUCAUACAAACCCUAAUGCUUGGAUCUAGGUUUCUCUGUUGUACAUGCAAGUUAUCCAAGACUAUAAACCCUAAUUCUAGCAUUCAAGUAAUCAUAUUAACAUGAGAAUAGGUUUAAGAUACUACCUUGAUUGUUAUGUAGCAAUAACAAUCCCAAUUCCUCCUUGUAUUGAGUUUAAAAAGCUUAGAGUCACAAAUGUCACUCCUCUAAUGGUUCACAAACACCAAGAGCAAGAGGAUGAAGAGGAGAGGUGAAGGAGGCUUCCCUAAAACGUGUGAAACCCUAGAAGAAGUCUUGGCCACGUUUUUGGGUCAUAAGGGAUGUAUAUAUAGUUAGGCUAUUAGGGUUAUCUAACAAGGAAACCCUAAUUUGGAUGCUUAAGCCCUAAGCAACCCAUGGAUCCCUUUCCUUAAGGCCUUGGACGAUUUCUUAUGGGUUUCCCCAUAGAAUUCGUCCACUCCUUAAUAUAAGGCAAUCCAUGGCCCAAUUGCAAUUAUCUUAUAAUUACAAUUCUAGUUCCUUAAGUUUAAUUAAUCUCUUUUGGUCACAAAACUAAUUACCAAUUAAUUAUUGACUAAUAUUAAUUAAACAAUAUGAUUUCUUCUUAAAUAUAUUAUUCUCAUAAUAUAUUAAUAAAUCAUAUUUAACCCUUUCUCUCCAUAAUUCAUCCUAUCAAGCUGCUUUGGUGAAGGCAACCCAAAAGGACCAUGCACCAUCGGGUCAAGUACAUACCAAAAUAGUUAUGGACUUAGACACUAAUCCAACAGACCCAUCGACUCGCCGAGUUCUAGAAAUCAGAAAACUCUGAAAUCGCGAUCCAACUCGUCGAGUUUCUCCUAUCAACAUCAUUGGUACUUUCCAAUUCCGCUCGUCGAUUCCAUCCUUGAACUCUUCGAGUCUUACCUUCUACAGGGUCGGGGUAUUGCGACCCAACUCAUCGAGUUCCUUUAUGAACUCGUCAAGUUCUUUAGUCUAUUAAGCCCUUUUUAAUGGAUUAAGCUCCUAUCCUUCAGAUCUAAGCCCCAUACUUCAUAUACAUACUGAAAAUGUCCUUUUAAGGGUAAAGUUUCCAACUUUACCCAUUAAUACCCUUCCUUAAUGGAUUUAGCUUAACCCCUAACUCUUUAAUAUCUAGAUCUUGAUCCAAAAGCCAUUAAUACUUCAAGCUAAGGCAUACAAACUGAGAUCUAGACCCUAGACACUACAUGAACAUGUAAAGUCACUGACUUUCUCUCCAUGCAUGGCCUUUGGAGCUUAAAAGGCCAAAAUGCUUGUCUAAAGGUUGCAUGGGGCUUCUAUGACCAUAAAGUUUAUACCUUUAUGCCAUGAAAUCCCUUCAAGACCCUAGAUUUGAAAGGGUAUUCACUUGGGACGUCCAUUUCCCAAGGAUCAAGAUGUUUGGACCAAAAACUCAAUAAAAGUGUUAAGAAAGAGAUCUAAGAAAUCAUUUGGCAAGCUUGAGACUUGCUUACCAAAAAGUGACGAGGAUGAGGUGAAGUUUAUGGAUCUACAAACUCCUUAAUGAGUCCUCAAGCUUCUUUUUCUUCCACAAGCUUAAAACACACAAAAACUCUCUCAAAGAUGGCUCACAAACUCACACAAUGCAUUAGGGUUUCUGUAUUUAGGGUUUGGGACUUGGAGGGUGGAAAUGAGGCCAAUAUGGAGGGUUUAAGAUGCUUAAAUAGGGUGCAAACCCCGGAAAUUAGGGUUUCAUUCUGCCAGUCCUACUCGUCGAGUUGAGGCUCUAACUCAUCGAGUAGACUUUAUCACCCGCGUCCAAAUUCAUUCCCAACAAGAUGAGUUUGGGGCCUCCAACUCAUCGAGUUCUUAUACAAAAACGAAUAAAUUUUUAAUUAAAUACAUACCAGGAACUAGGCGUUAUAAUUCUCCCCCACUUGUCUUAGACUUCGUCCUCAAAGUUUGUUGCCUUAAAUAACUAUGGGUAAUUAAUGGUCUCUCGUCUCAUCCUCUGGUUCCCAAGUCCACUCUGACCCCUUGUGGUGCAUCCACUGCACCUUCACUAACUGUACAACCUGGUUCCUCAAGGUUUUCAUCUUGUGAUCCAGAAUUGCCACUGGUCUCUCAAUAUAAUUCAGGUUGUCAUCAACCUGGAUAUCCUCUAAAGACACAACUGCGGAGUCAUCCACCAAGCACUUUUGCAGCUGGGAGACAUGAAAAGUAUUGUGGAUCUGGCUGAGCUCUGCUGGAAGAUCAAAACAAUAGGCCACACGGCCCACCCGAUCUGUAACUCUGAAGGGACCGAUAUACCUGGGGCCCAGCUUGCCCCACUUUCUGAACCGGAUGACACCUUUCCAAGGUGACACCUUCAGGAGGACCAUGUCGCCUACGUAAAACUCCAAGUCUAAACGACGCUUGUCGGCAUAGCUUUUCUGCCGACUCUGAGCAGUCUGAAGCCUGCUUCGAACCAGUUGAAUCUUCUCAGUGGUCUUGAGUACCACUUCAGUACUCCCCAUGAAUCUCUGACCGACCUCGUCCCAACAGAUUGGGGUCCUGCACUUCCUCCCAUAGAGCAUCUCAAAGGGAGGUCGAUCUAUGCUAGCAUGUUAGUUGUUGUUAUACGAAAAUUCCGCUAACGGAAGAUAUGUAUCCCAACUGCCUCCAAAAUCCAAUACACACGCACACAGCAUGUCUUCUAGAGUUUGAAUCGUCCUCUCACUCUGUCUGUCAGUCUGAGGGUGGAAAGCGGCACUAAUGUGAAGAAGAGUACCCAUCUCGUCGUGAAACCGCUUCCAAAAUCUGGAAGUGAAACGAACAUCUCGGUCUGAUACAACCGAAACCGGCACUCCAUGUCUUGCCACUACCUCACGUACGUAGAUCUCGGCUAGCUUCUCAGCCGAUAUACUCUCCUAGAUUGGGAUAAAAUGAGCACUAUCGUUCAACCAAUCCAUGAUGACCCAUAUCGAUUCUACUCCACGUGCGGUCUUGGGAAGCUUCGUGAUGAAAUUCAUAGUGAUAUCUUUCCAUUUCCACACGGGAAUGUCCAAUGGUUGCAUCUUGUCGUGAGGUCGCUGGUGUUCGGCCUUGACUUUCCUGCAAGUCAAGCAUCGUAUACAUACCAUGCUAUGUCCCGCUUCAUGCAGGGUUACCAAUAACCAGGGCAAAGAUCCCGAUACAUCUUUGUCGCCCCGGGAUGGAUAGAGAACCUCGACUUGUGGGACUCAUCCAUCAAAACUUGUCGUACACCGCCCCAAUACGGAACUCAGACCCUCCUAUGCAUGCCCACGACUGUCAUAAUUAAAUGAGGCCACAUGGCUUACGAUCUGCUCACACUUUCGGCGCUCUUCCUUCAUACCCAUGACUUGUGCCUCCCGGAUCCGUUCUAGUAACGGAGUAAUCACUUUCAUCCUCAGACAUAUGUCUUGUAUCAGUGUUGUCACUGCCUUGAGGCUAAGAGCAUCAGCCACCAUAUUGGCCUUCCCUGGGUGAUAAAGGAUCUCGCAUUCGUAAUCAUUCACCACAUCUAACCACACUUCGUUCAAACCCAUGGAAAAGCGUGAACUUUUUACUAGUUAACAUAUAUGAAAUGAAUCAAUAAAAAAUAAACAUAGAAGCAACGAACUAACUGAACUAACUAAUCUAUUUGGUAAAUUCAUAAAAUACCCUUAUACAUAACUAACUUGUAAUAGAAUUUGUAAGGAGAAGUAUGAUGUGGCUAACAUCCCCCCUCAAUCUUGUGGAAAUAAACGAACACUAAGCUUGUUGAAAACAUCAUAAUGUUUUGAACCUUGAAGAUUUUUGGUGAAGAUAUAUAUAUGUUAUCAUAUGUGGAAACAUGAGACAAAUCAAUUAGACUUGCUUGAACUUGUUCUCGAACAUAGUGGCAAUCAAGUUCAAUAUGUUUGGUUCGCUGGAGAAANNNNNNNNNNNNNNNNNNNNNNNNNNNNNNNUAUAUAUAUAUAUAUAUAUAUAUAUGGAAGCUUGAUUUUCAUUUAAGAGGGAUCGGUGUAAUAUUUGGUACUUCAAAUUCUUGAAACAAUCAACUUAACCAAGCCAAUUCAGCACAGACGUGACGCAUGGAUCUAUACUCAUCCUCUGUAUAUGAUAAAAAAAAAACAGUUAUUUGUUUGUUAUAUUUCCAUGAAAUUGGUGAGCCUCCAAAAGUGAUGAAGUAUCCACUCACUGAUUUUCGAGUUAUGGCCUAUGGGACAAGAAGCCUAGUCGGAAUCGUAAAAAGCUUCCAUUUUGGAUUGUUUUUUAUCAUUAAAAUAUAAUGUUUGAUUGAUUGUUCCUUUUAGGUACUGAAGUACAUGAAUAACUUCUUAAGAUGAUCUUGUGAAUAUGACUUGUUAAAUUGGGUUAAAUAUUGAAUAGAGAAUGACAAAUAAGGACGAGUAUGUACAAGAAAGUUGAGUUUCCUAAUCAAUUUCCUAUAAAUUGUGGGAUCAGACAAAGAUUAUUGGUUGUAACUUGAUUUGAUAAGGUAAAGGAGAUUUUUUUUUAUCUUGUAUGCCAUAAUUAUGUCUCAAUUCUUAAAGAACUUUCGUUGAUGUACAGCCAUACCACCUUUAAUUUUAUUGAACGCAAUUUCUAACAAAUAAUGGAGAAGACCAAAAUCCUUUAUUUGAAAUUUGUCAUCUAAAAAGGUGUUUAGCUUGAUAAAAAUUUAUGUAUUAUUGCCAGUCACCAAUACAUCAUCAACAUAGAUUGAUACUAUGAAAAUUGUAGAAUAACUCUUUUUAAGGAAAAAAGAAUGAUCAUUAGGUGAAUCUGAAUAACCUUAUUCUCUCAAAACAACAGAAAUUUUGGAGUACCAUUGUCUUGAAGCUUGUUUCAAGCCAUAAAGAAACUCUUUCAAAUUGCAAACCUGAGAUGGAGAAGUCAAAGGAUGACCUUAUACUUCCUCAUGUAAAUCCCCAUGUAAGAAGGCAUUGUUGACAUCAAAUUGAUGCAUGUCCCAAUGUUGUUUGACUACAAGAGCAAUGAGACUUUUAAUUGUCGUGAAUUUAAAAAAUGGGGAAAAGGUCUCAUGAUAAUGUAUUCCUUCCUUUUGAGUAGACCUAGAAAUGGGGCGGGUUUGGAGCGAAUCUACCUUGAUCCAAACCCUUUUAAUAAAUUCCAAAAUCCGAUCCAAAUCCGCUCCAUAACCCGCAGGGUUUUGAAUAAUCAAACGCAUACCCUUGUCCACCGAAUCAGCAGAUAUCCAAACCCGCCCCAUAACCCGUAGGUUUUUUGAAUAAUCAAACACAUUUUACUUAAAUCAUAAAAUCACAUUUGUUAAAUAAAACAAAUGUUGAUUUAGAAAACACAUUAUGUAGUCGAAAACUUUCGAUUGGAAUUAAAAUCAUUAUUGUAGUUACUUCCAAUUGGUUUUUGACCCUCGAUUGCAUUGAUAGAGAAUAACAAUUACAAACUUUCUUCCAGUUGAUAAAUGAAUUUAUUGAUUUAUAAAUGAAAUUGGUGAUUACAUGAUGAAAUAUAAAUGAAAUGACAUCAUGAUUUUUGGGAGAAGAAUGAAAAUCUAAAAGUUGAUUCCCCAAGUCCUAUGUAUAAAUAGUUUAGUCUUUGGCCUUUUCUAUUUGGACUUUAGAUUAGAAUUUAAAGUAAAAUUUAGACAGUUUAAAAUAUAAAUGUAUAAUUUUAAAAUUUAUAUGGGGCGGGUUAUAAAUGGAGCGGAUCGGUGAUGAUCCAUACCCGACCCUUUUAAUAAAAGGGUUAGCGGUACGGGUCGUUAACGGGUAAACGGAUCAAAAACUAUGCUCCAAACCCGUAUAAUUGUUAAGUGUUUGGAUCAGAUCAGGGUCAAAACCCGCUCCAUUUCCAGGCCUACUUUUGAGUGAAUCCCUUUGUCGCUAAUUCGGUCAGCCAUAUGCUUUAAUUUUGACUUUAUAGAACAAGCAAUUGACCUUUUUCCUUUAGGAGGUUUGACAAUGUGCCAUGUCAUAUUAGCAUCAAGUGUAAUGGUUUCAGUUUGCAUAGCCAUUUACCACUCUAUUAUACCUUUUUCUUGAUGAUUAAAUGAAGGAUGAAAAGGAAUAGAUGUCAAGGAAGAAACUUAAGACAUUUGAUUGUCAAUAUAAUGAUGUUGAAAAUUCUCACUGAUACAUAAACUCGUAAUAGUAUGCAUACAAAGAUAUGUAGAUUCUUAUGAUGUAACAUGAGUGCAUAUAUCAUUCAUGUAGGAUGGUGAAAAAUAAAUUAUAUUGCUUCUUUAUAUCUUAGGACAAGGGUAGAAUGGUCAUUUUCUGGAAAAGUUGCAUUUUGAGUAGAAAUGGGUAUGAGUUAUGAAUGCUCAAUAUCAUAUGAGGUAAUAGAGAUAUAGGAUAUGGAUAAUGGAUGUUUAAUAGCAUGCAGAGGAAAUAUAUUACUUGAAAUCUCUUGAAACAUGAAUGUUUUGAUUGAUCAAAUUAAGCACUUUAAAAGCUUUUUGACCAUGGGAAUAUCCAAGAAAGAUACAAGAGUGUGCCCUUGACAUGAAUUUGUCUCUGUUAACAGGUCUGGAAGACACAAAAAAAACGCAUCCAAAUGUUUUCAAAGUUGUGAAAUCAUGAUCUUUGUUAUACAACAACUGACAAGGGGGUUUGUUGUAAAUAACCUUGGAAUGAAGUCUAUUAAUGAUGUAAACAUCCGUUUUAGUACAUUCACCACAAUAUGAACUCCCAACACUAGAUUAAAAGUAUAAUGCCCUAACAACUUCAGGAGUGUAUCUAUGUUUUCUCUCUACUAAACCAUUUUGUUGAGGGGUAUGACGGGAUAAUUUCUGGAGAAUUAUACUAGUUGUUUGAAAGCAAUUUUGCCCAUCUAAACUAUAUCCAAUCUCUUUUCCAGUGUUAGUUUGAAUACAUUUGAUAGUGACUUGUAAUUAGGUUUGAAUGAAGGUCACAAUGGAUUUUAUUAAAGUAAAAGCAUAGCUUUUGUGAUUUAAUAAAUGACUCCAAGUGUGUCGUGUAUAAUCAUCACUAAUGGUUAGAAAGUAUUUAUACCCAUCAUGAGUUUGAUGUUUAUAUGGACCCUAUACAUCAACAUAAAUAAUAUCAAAAAUAGAAUUAAUGUAUGUAACACCAUGAGGAAAAGAUGGUCUAGUUUGUUUGGCUUAAGCACAAGUAAUACAAGCAUCAAUAUCAGAAAGAGUAUAAUUAGGAAGAUACAUAAUAUGUUUCAAUGUAUCUAAAGAAACAUGACCAAAUCAUUAAUUUGUGCCACAUCAUAAUGUUUGAAUGAGAAACAUAUACAUGAUGUAAAAAAGAAAUUAAAGAAACAUAUAAAGUGUAUGACAAAUUGUGUUUGAGAUGAUCAUAAUCAAACACAUAUACAUCAUUUAUUCUCUUCCUAACAACACCAAGUGAAAUUCUAUUCUUCAACAAAGGGUCAUGCAUGAUACAUGUCUCAUCAGUGAAUAAAACAAAGGUGUGAAGUUGUGAUGUAAGUUUGAUUAUGGAGACAAUGUUAAAUCUGAACGAAGGAACAUAUAGCACAUUAUGCAAUAGAAUAGAUUUAUGAAGUUGAACAUCACCAUAAUGUGAAACAGGAAGAUUGGAUUCAUUAGGUAGCCUAAUUCUACGUGGAUGAGAAAACUUAGUCAUAGACACAAAAAUAUUGGAAUUAGAGGACAUAUGAUUUAUAGAAAUAUGUUGUUUAAGAAGAGCAUGUGAUUUAUAGACAUUAGAAGAAAAAUGAGCAUAAGAAAAGAAAUUAGCAUUAUGAAGCAUAAGCCUUAGGUUCAUCCUUUUUUUACUUUGGUGAAUUUAAAUGUGGAAGGAAAGCCAGUCAACCGGUAUCACCGAGAUUUGGAAUUACCAGACUUCAAUGUCCACAGAGUAAUGUUUUCUUGGAUGAAUUAUAUGAUUGAUUGAUAGAUACUUUCAUAGGAAUGACAUCAAGAUAAAUUGCAUGUAGAGGAUUAAUGUCUCUUUGACAUUCUUCUUGAAUGAUCAUUGAGUAAACAGUGGAAACACUUGGUAAUGGUUUCAUCAUUAUGAUUUGUCCUAUAAUUUCUUUAUAAGUGUCAUUUAAACCCAUGAGCAAUUGAAUCAAUUGUUGAUCAUUAAGAAAUUUUCGAAUACAUGUAAUAACAGCACGAGUAGAAUCUUGAAUACUAGGGAUGUCAAAAAGUCCCGUGGGACCCCGAACCCAUGGGGCCCCGAUCCUGAAUGGGGAAUAUUUGUUUAAAAAAUCGGGGACGGGGGUGGGGGCGGGAGCAAUGUUAACCCCCGUUUUAGUUUCGGGGGCGGGGGCGGGGGUGGGUAGUCCCGUCCCGAAACCCCAAUGGGGACCCCGUUAAUAUAUUAUUUAUAUUAGUAUAUAUUAAUUGUAAAAAUAUAAUAAAUAAUAACAAUGAUUUUGAACUUCCAAAAUUCAAUUAAAUAUCAUGUUUUUAAGUUUAUAGUAUAACGUUUUUAAGAUGUUAGAAUAUUUUUAUUUUAAAUAUAUAAACUUAUGCUAUAAAUAACUAUUUUUAUCCAAAAUGGUUUCUUUUAGCCUAAACANNNNNNNNNNNNNNNNNNNNNNNNNNNNNNNNNNNNNNNNNNNNNNNNNNNNNNNNNNNNNNNNNNNNNNNNNNNNCGGGGGAUGCAAUCCCCGUCCCAUUUGCCCCUGUUGACAUCCCUAUUGAAUACUCUUAACAAUGCGAAUUUCUUCCUAGAUCUUCAUUAACUUUUUGAAAUGGGUUGAGAAAUCAUUAACUAUUUGUUCAUAACGAUGAUUGAGCUCCUUCUAGAUCUCAAAUGAUGUUUGAAGAAACAUAGCACUUUCAGCAAUGUUUGAAUGUAGUGAGUUUAGUAGUUAACUGAUAACCAUAGAGUUAACUUGAUGCCAAUUUGAAUAUGUGGAAGAGUCAGAAGAAGCUUGUGAAAUUGAGCCAUCGAUGAAAGCAAGUUUGUUCUUUGCAUAUGGAGAAAUUUUCAUAAAUCGUUUCCAAGAUGAAAAUUCAUGUCCAUUGAAAACAUGUGAAAUAAGAACAACUCUUGGAUUGUCAGAAGAUCCAAGAUAAUCAGGGCUUGAUACAUUCAUUGCAACAGAUUGAGAUGAAUUUAUCGAAGAAUAAGGAAUCGACGUGAUGAAAAAAAAACAGAUAAAUUUGAAUGCGAAAGGUGAAAGAGAAUCGAUUAGAAAGUUGAUACCAUGUUAUCUUAAGAGAAUUAGAGACACAAAGAAGAAUAUGAACAGGAAUCAAUCGGUUCUCUUCAACAUAAACAAAAUGAAUCAACAACAUAUAUAAAGUAACACAGAGAAGCAACGAUCAUAUGGAAGAAUCACCUUACCUGAUAAAUCGUUUUGAUCAACAGUUUAAUGACACAGCCAGGGGAUUCCUUGGUCAGUGUUGAUUUAUAAAUGCAAUCCAAACAUUAGAGUAUUUGAUAAAUAUGAUAUCUUGUUUCAUCUACGUAUGUGGGUUAUAAAUCCACCCUAGCAAAGUAAUUCACAAGACCAUCUACAAUAAUCCAGUGUUGUCAUCUUACUCUGGUAGAUGACUCAUACACACCCACUUGGUAUCUGAAAGAGGAGGAAUACUGCACUCUACAUCAAACUCAUGCAUUACCCUAGAAUGAGACUACUCACUCUUAAAUUAAAUUUGAACUAAGUAUCCUUUAUAAGUCUUUGUUUGUAACUAGACAAGAUUACAAUACAUGUAGUUAACUUACAAUACUAAUUUUAUGUUCAUGCAAUACUAUCACAAUACAUGGUAUAUGUUUAGUACAAAAUACAAAUAGUAAUCAUUCAAUAUACAUUUAAUCUUUUAAGUAACAAAUACUUUUAUGAAGAUCGUGUUCAUAAAAGUAACUACCCACUAACUAUACAAUAUAUACAUUUAAUCUUUUAAGUAAUAAAUACUUUUAUUAAGAUCAUGCUCAUGAAAGUAACUACGCACUCUACUGAUUAAAGGUGGAAGAUUUGUGGGUAGGUUAGUUCUUCGUUCAACAUUUUAGCUUCCCCUUUUAAAUGACCUCAAUACAAUAUUACUAAGUUUUAGUUUCAUUUAUAUUUAUAUUAUUCAAGAUUAUAUUAACUAUUUCUCAUAUUCUUCAUUAAUCUUAAUGAAUACCAAGUUCUAUCAAAUAAGGAAUGACCAGGUAAGAUGCUAUUAGACGUAUGAUCUGUUUGGUAUAUAAAUAUAUUGUUUGGAAAAUCCACUUUAAACACCUCACUAAGAUCUUACUUAGAAAUUAUGUUCGUAAGUAGAUCAAUCAGUAUUAUAACCAGUACUAGUGAUAAAUCUUAUUUAUAGGUUCAUAACAACGACAAUAAACACAAUAAAAGUUACACUUAACAAGCAUGGUAAGUGCAACUUAUCUUAUCGGAUUGCCUAGCAAAAACUCAAAGGUCCCGCGAGCUAACUUCGACAUUGAAUUCUUCUCCACACAAACUCUCCAACGCUUCAACGUGUAACAUCCCAAAAAUCAAGGUAAAUUUUUCAUUUUCAAAACCAAGCCAAAAACCAUAAAUUUUUACAAACAUAGUUUCCAAAAGUUAUAAUCAUGAAUCAGAGUAUCCCAAAAUCAAAUAUCAUAAAAUACGAAGGAUAUGCACAAUCAAGCCUUCACCUUGCCCCUAAUCUCAGAAGUACCUGAAACCAUAUCAAUCAAACUGUAAGCCAACUCUUAGUGAGUUUCCCCAAAAUACCACCACACAACAUAUAACAACAUGCAUACUAGAUCCACAGUCAUCGGAGUGGAUUACCCCUGAGCCCACAGCAUGAGUCUAGUUGGCCUAUCAGGCCCACAUCUCAUGUCUGGAUUGAUCUCGAGCCCACAACAUAAGUCUGACUUGCCUUUUUGGCCCAUAACUAUGUUUGGCUUGCUACCAGGUUUGUUGUCCUCCGCACAAAGUAGUAUUGCCUCAACCCACACUCGUUAUGUCGACACAUGCAACAAAUAAACAUAUAACCAGAAAGCAGAUAAGCAUGUAGAUUUAACAUAUCACUAUAGCAUAGAAACAUCCUAUAUACAGGAUACAUAACCUAGUUGGUCGGUAUUGGUGCCUUCGACCCACAAGUACAAUGAGGAAAACUUACCUGAAUCACAAAGCCGACUAAAACCCAACUCAAUGUUGUGCCGACCGCUGCUAAUAGAUCUCACCGCCAAGGAUGGGUAUUAAAUACCUCAUAUCAAUCCAUACAAGGCAAACCCUAUGUUUAUCUCCUAAAAUAGAAAUUUGACCAAAAUUCAACUCAUGUCAAAAGUCAACAGUCAAAGUUAACGGCCAAUGUUGACUUUAGCCAACUACCAUGCCGUGCCCUUCCUUGGCCACGUCGUGGCCCUCAUACAACCAGACAUACGGGAAAUUCCCAAUCGCUAGUUCAUGGCGAUCUAUGGCCACGCCGUGGGCAUUGGGUUUCCAGCAGCUUAAUGGAUUAAGUCGGUUUUCUCGAUUCCAAGAACUCCAAAGCUCAAAUCUGGUCCAUUCAAUGGUCUAAAUGGAUAAAUUUUCCAACUUAUCCAUUAAUACACCCAACAAGAUCAAGAUCUCCAACCCUAAGUCCAAAUAAAGCCAAAUACCACCAUGUCUUAACCAUUAAUACCUUAAUAUGAAAAGUCCUUAAUCCAACCACUUCAUAAGGGUUUUCUAAUACCAGAUCCAUCAUAAAGAUGGAAGCUUUAUAGAAAUUUAUGUCUAAUACAUGUCUAGAAUCCAUUUUAGGUCAAAAUGAGCUCUAAAGACCAAAACUCAAGCAAAUGACGAUAACUUCCACCAAAGACUAAAACUAAAACAUAUAAUGCUCUUGAGACUCAGGAGAGUCAUAAAGUUGCCAACUUUAUGAGUUCAUUCCUUCCAAACUUGCUCUAAUAUGAAGGACCUUGGACAAUAUUCAACAUCUAACCACUUAAAUCCAUAAAGCAAGGAACCUAGACACUUAUAAAGGACCAAAGAUGCCCAAAAUAGAUCUUCACUUCAGCCAAAAAGCACCACAAUCCUUUCCAAUGCCUUUUCUUUCUUCAUAAGCACCCAAGGUCACCAAAAUGGACUCACAACUGUCAAGGAGGAAUUUGGGUUAAGGUUUCUAAAACUUGAGGGGGAUAUGAUUUAGAGGGGUUUAAAUAUGAAGAAAACCCUAAAAGAAUCAUGGGCUUGGGCCAGGUGAGCUGUCACGGUGUGGCAACCUUUGGCUACGCCAUGACGAUCCAAAAACACACGCGAUCCAUUAAACAACUUCCAUGUCUUGGCCCUCCUUGGCCAUGUCAUGGCACAAGAUUUCUUCCAAAGCUUCAUCUUUGGUCCCUAAUAAAAGUAAGCUUAACCAAUCUGGAACACGGGUGUUACACAACGCUUCAUUAAAAGAUUCGAAAAGAACGAAGAAAUAAAAUCACAAGGACUGAAAUCCCGAGGGUUGAAAGAGAAAGAAUUAACAAGGAAUAAAUGAGGAGGUGAGUUGUUAUUUAUAGCAACUUUUUUCAAAAGUGUGAUGUGCCUAUGUACGCCGUGCCUUACAUGACGCUUACUGGUGAAGCCACGUCACUCGAUGGUUGUUGGGGUCAUUUUCUCUCCUACUACCAUGUGGUGGCUCGCAGCCUAGAGCUGCCAGCUUCCAGGUAAAUUCUCAUUUUCUUUGGAUAAUUGUAACUUUCACAUACGACCUUCAUUUUCGACGAUUUUAUAUCCUCGGAUUCGUAAUUUCGCAUUCCACAACUUUCAUCAAGACUACUUUGGCUAAAAAGUAAUCUAUUUUCACUUUGAUGUUUAUAAAGAGUAUACAUUGAAAUUAUCUUAUAAAAUUCAUAACUUCUUCAUACGACGUCAUAUUUUGGCGAUCUUUAUACUCUCAGGUUCGUAUUCAUGACUACCACAACUUUAGUAUAAUUAUUUAUUGUUUUAUAUAAGUAACUUAAAUAUUAUUUAUAUACAAAUAACAUUUAGAUAAAACCUCAUAAAUGGUCCCUUUGCUUUUUAGAAAUGUGAGAUAUAGUCCCUAAGUUAGAGGGAAAAAAACCCUCAUACAUAGUCCUUAUGGUUCCAAAACUUUUAACAAACAACCCUUUACAGCUAAUUUCGUUGUAGAUUUAGUCACUUUCAAAAUUAAAAUGAGCUUUUUACCUUUAACAUAUUUAUUUUUCAUUUUUCAUUAUUUCAUUUUAAUAUGUUAUUAUUAUUAAAUACAUAAAUGGCCCACGUCUCUCUCUCUCUUUCUCUCUGUGUGUGUGUGUCUCUCUCUCUCUAUCUCUAUCUCUCUCUGUGUGUAUGUGUAUCUCUCUCUCUCUCUCUCUCUCUCUCUCUCUCUCUCUCUCUUUCUUAUGGUUUCUAUUUUUUUUAAUAACCUUAAUUAAAAUACAUAUAAAAAAAAUAAAAAGGGUAUAUAAGUCUUUUUAUAUGGGUGGGAGACUAUUUUUUAAAAGUUUUGGAACAAAAUGAACCAUCUAUAAGGUUUUUGAACUUGUGGACUAUAUCUCAGAUUUCUAGAAACCAUAGGGACUAUUUAUUAAGUUUUGUCUAACAUUUAUAUAAACACAUAUACAAAGAAUUCUUAUUUAUUUCUUUAUAAAAAAAUUUACAUUAGUUAUAUUAUUAACUAACCUAAAUAAGGUUUUUUCCAUGUAAUGUUUAACAAAAAACAGGGGCAUUAUACAUAUGGAAAUUUNNNNNNNNNNAUAUAUAUAUAUAUAUAUAUAUAUGGUAGAAUAGUAUAGAAUAGUCACAAAUAUAUGUAACUUGUAGUAAGAUCUAAAAACUUCUUGAGGAGGUGCAAACACCUAUAAAUGGGGUUGAGUUUAUUUUAUCCAAACAUCCAAUAAACAAUUCAACAAAUAAAAAUGUAAUAUUCUCUAAAAAUGUAAGUCUUUCUCAAAUGAUCUUAGUAAAAAAUGUUUUCAUUUCACACAUAAAGAGUUGUGCUCAACAGAUCUUAGGAUCAAAAUUCAAAAGGGUGGUUUAGAAUUUAGGGUGUCUAACGGAACAAAUUAUGACACCAGUUUCGAUUGGUGUUUCAAUACUUCUACAAAAAGCCUGAAGGAGGAGAUUGAAGAUGCGUUCGUUAAUAGUUUUAAUAGAAUGUUGAAUAGGAUGUUGCGAUAAACAUUUUCGCAACGAUUUGUAAGGGUUUUAAAGAGACACGGUAUGUCGCUGAUUCUUAAAUAAAUUGACAAAGGCACAUGAGGAAGACAUUUAAAGAAAGAUAAUUUCUUGGUGUUUAUGGUGAAUCGUCAAUUUCAUGUGCAUUUGUCAAUUCCAUUAAAAGUCUUGCAAAACUUUGCGGAGAUGGUUAUUCGACGUUCUUUGCAGACUUCCUAUGAAGUCAUUGAUCUUCGUUAUGACUGAAUACCCAUAGUUGUCUAAAAAUAUCAAAGCAUCCGUCUUGAAUCUCCCACUUAAGGAUUUUUGUAGAAGUAUCGGAACACAUAUCGGAACUAGUUUUGGACUUUUUUUCGUUAGAUACCCUAAAUUCUAAACCACCAUUUUCAAGUUUAAAUUUCGGUCUCAAGAUCUGUCGAGCACAACUCUUUAUGCGUGAAAUGACAAUGCUUUUUAUUAGGAACAAUGAUUUUUAUUAAGACCGUUUGAGAACAACUUACAGUUUGAGAAACUACUACACUAAUUCUUACUUGUUAUAUCUCUCUUUUAAAUACAUAAUUCAUCCGUAUGAAGUCGGAAUUGCUUUAUUUUUUUCCAACAUAUAAUUUGAUGUUUGUAGUUUAUUUUAGACUGUGAAAAUACACAUUUCCGUUGCAAAUCACAAAAUCGGUUCCAUUAUGAAAAAAUAAUUGAAAAAUCAGGACCUACACCGGCACCGGCAAUCCGGUUCUCGGUAUACAAAUUCAAUUCCAGUUUGGUUUCGGUCCGAUUCAAAAGUUCAUCCUUAAUGAUAACCUCCUACAAGUUUAACAAACUUAAUUUUCAUCUGCAUAUGAACAAGCCAAAAAAAUUAAGUUUAUCACUGGUAAUGUACACAACCAUAAUUUGUUCUUUUAAAAACAAGAAAAAAAUGUAAGGAAUCAAACACUAGAGAAACAUACCUCGACAUUGCGGCCAUUGUGCCACAACUCAGCUUGUUGCAUCAAAUCAUUAUCAUACCUAUACACAUCUCUCUGGAGCAUGUUUUAUGCUUCAAAAGAGUUUGAGUAUAGUGGUAAGCAAUAGCAACUCCCGAUGAUAUGUUCCAUCAUACAUUUUUAUGAUUUUUAUCACGAAACAAGGUUACAAUAUUAAUAACCUAAUGCUUCAAGCAUUAUUAGCAUCAAUGUUCAAAUUUUUGCUAUGCUUUGCUACAUUUAUUCAAUCUGAACACCUGUAGUUUGAUGUAUAAGCUAGUAAGCAUUUUUGUUCAAUCUCACAUUCCUAUACGUCUACUAUAUUUUCUGGUUUUACUAAAGAAAACAGAACCCCUAUCUGCCCUAUAAUCUCAUAAUAACAGUGGUGAAUAUUCUAUCAAACUUUACUUGUGUGAAACAGCAAAGCUGUGCAAGCUAACUUAAGCAAAAAAAUAAAAACGAAAUUCAAAACGUUUUUAAUGAUCUGCAAUAUAAAAAUUUAUACGUAGAGAAAUUUAUUUUUCUCUAGCGAUUAAUUGUCUCAACUAAGCGAAACCAACCUCUUAUUCAAAUAAAGAAAAUUAAACUCUUAAUUGUGCAGGGGCCGCGCGAACGCAGGCCCCCACUGCCACAAAUUAUGAUGUAGGUUCGACCACUUGGGCCGACCUUAGGGUAGCACCCCUUCAGAGUGCAAUGAAGGUCACUAACCUAGGCCAUGAGCCAUCUUGACCACCCAUUGACCCCAUCCAGGUAAGUAAGUCUUCCAGACUCCUCAUUCCCGUUUUAUUGAGUUUCUCCUCUCUUUCUCUUUAUUCCACCUGCCGAUGUGGGAUAGUUUAAUAUGCAUGUAUCGUUGGAAGUUUUUUUUUUUUUUUUUUUUUAAUAUUUUUCACACCUUUGCUUUUACAAUUAUAGAAACGAAAUGGAUUGAUAAAGUUUUUAAACAUUUGAUAUUUUGGUUGGCUAGAAACUAGAAAGUACUUCACGACUAUAAGACAAGACAUACUUGGUUCAUUGAACUAAAACUUUAUUUAUUUCUUCUUUUGUCUAGAUACUGUAAUCAUCUAGUGAUAAACUUACACAUACUUUGGUUCAAACUUAUCAUCAGAAUUAUAGUAAAAAAACAUUGAACUAGUACUAGUUAUAAAAAAUUAGGGCAUCCUGAUCAUAUCCUAUAUAGAAAUGGAUUGGGACAUUGAAUUGUUUUAGCCUUUUAGGUGUUUUACACUUUGUUUUUAUUUUAAAAAAAAAAAGUUAUUUUUAACUUGACAAUAAAGAUCAAUCAAAAUAUCUACACAUUAGCAUUAUGUUUAUUUAAUUUUUUCUCUUAACAAUUAUAACUUUGGCAGCCUAAAAAUAAAUUAAUAUAUAUAAUAAAAAUUAUGUUCUCUUUUGUCACGAAAGAACACUUUUUGUUCUGUUUUAUCAUUUGCAUUUUAAUGGAGUAAAUCGUACAAAUGGUUCUUGUCAUUUUCAUUUUUUGGUUUACGUCCCUAAAUGAAUCUUUUCCCACAAAAGGUCCUUAUGAGAGGGUUUUGGUUUAGAUUUGGUCCUGAAAGAUAGACAUCGUUUAAGGGAUUUGUCAAGACAUGUGAUUUGUACGUGGGUGUAAUAAUGUCUUUUUCAUUCCUUAUAUUCCGUCGAUUAGAUAGAUAUCACCAUUAUAUCAUUGUUUGUCAGCACAAUGACCAAAUACACAUUCUAAUUACACUUACCCUCGCAUCAUAUUCUAAAUUUCACAUGAAAAAAAAAAAAAAAAAAAAAAAACUACUUUGCAAAAGCUUUCUUCCAGUGGCAUCAAAUCUUUGGAAUAUUCAAAGGAGUAACCAUUUUUUGUAACAUGUUUUCUUCUUAACAAUUUGCAUGUACACUUAUCGUAGAUGAUAUGGAAAAUGACAAUUUAGCAUAGACCUGGCAAUUCGUGUAUUCGUGUCAUUAAAACGUGUCAACCACGAAUUUGACACGAUACGAUUACACAAUGAGAAAUAAACUUUAUCUCAAUUUUUAAGAUGUAUUCGUGUCGUGUCGUGUCGUGUCUUUUACAGAUCCGUGUCUUCGUGUCUGAAAUUGUCAAGUCUACUUUAGCACAACCGACUAACCAACUGUUCUAUUUGGUCUUAUUUGAUCACUAUUUUUUUUUUUUUUUGCACAUAAGUUAUUAAACUUACAACUUACUUUGUUUAUUAAGUUACACAAAUUGUCCAUAUAGUUUUAGUUUUUUUCAUGGUUGGUCCCUUAUAAACAUCAUUCCCACCGAUACCACCACCGUUCACUUCUAAUAGUAACUAGUGUUCACUUUUAGCAACCCCGUGGUUUUUUAGGCUAUCUUCAUUCUGUAAUUCUGAUUUAUGAACAUCGUUGCAACCUCUAGAAACGAAAUGAAUUAUAAUUGGCUUAUUUGGAUUUCAAUUAAAACUAACGAAAAAAGUUCUCUCUAAAACGAUGAUAUAUAUUUCUAAUGUACCUAUGAUGGCUAUAUAAACAUUUGGUCAUUUUUUCUUGAUUAAUUUCAUGGUUGUUUUGAGACUCAUAUUUAUAUGAUAAGCGUUUUUCAUAGUUGUUUUUCCAUUGUUCCAAAACAAAUUUUUGCGGUUGGUCCAGAAAAUAUGAAAUAAAACUUUCUUGAGAUGAAAAUUUGUUAUAUCCGAUAAACAUGCAACUAACAAACGGUAGCCAAUUAUAUCGAUUCAUGUGUUGAUGCACUUCUCGUAAAUCCCAUCAUAUGUGAAAGAUGAAUAACCGAUUUAAUUCGCGUUUAGCAAUGUGAAUUUUUUUUAAUGAAUUUGAAAUUAUGAUCGCUUUCAUUACAUAAAAAAUGUGUAAUACCAAGUAUUACCCAAAUAUAUUCAUAAUAUUGUUGUAGUAUAAAGGUGUUGCUGAUGAGACACAUCUUAGACACCUUGUUAUUAUUUUUAUAAAAAAUCAACCUAUAAUCAACUUUUUCGGAAAAAAAUGAAAUUUCAACCAAUAAAAAAAUCUUAAAAUCAAAUAGAGUGUCUAAAUGGAAAAAUAGAAUGUCUUUUUAGCCAAACUCAUAACAAAAUUACCCACGACUAACAGUCCAACUCCCUGUCGGAUUUUUCAUCUUCCUCACUAUAAUCGAUACCUUUUAAAGCUUGUCUGUCUUUCGUAUUCUCUUCAUCUUUUCCUUACUAUCCUGCCGGUAAACAUAACUAAAGAUCAAAAAAACGUGGGGUUGUCAAAAGUGAACAGCGACGGUGGCGAUGAUGAACAAUAUUGGUUACGGACCCACCACAAAAGAAAUUAAAACCGGACCAUUUGUGUAAUUUAUAUUAACUAGUUAACUUUGUUAAAAACCAAAUGAUUUAAUAAGGAGAUAAGUUGUAAGUUUGACAUGGGUUACUUAAAUAGACAAAAUUGACAAAUUUAAUGGUCUAACAUGUAAAUAUCAAUUACAGCAUUUCUAUAUUUCGUUGGGCUUUAGGUUUAUCUUAAUUUAGCACAACAGAUCUGAUGUGAAGAAAACUUAAGUGAAUAAAAUUAGGCAGGGGCCGCGCGAACGCAGGCCCCCACUGGCACAAAUUAUGAUGUAGGCUCGACCUCUUGGGCCGACCUUAGAUUAGCACCCUUCCAAAGUGCAAUGGAAGUCACUAGCCUAGGCCAUGGGCCAUCUUGACCACCCAUUGACCCCAUCCAGGU
rnacentral:lncRNA from 1 species